AACUCACCCGCUAGGACCGUCCUUCGGGUUUACUCCAACCCGUGAUGCAUAACUCCGGAGCGCAUCGCCCGAGGGGGAGCGACCGCCCUCGAGCACGGAACUCAUAGCAAGUAUGAUCAUAUCCUUAACUCAAAGGAUUUAUAAGUUCAAUCUUGACUUUACACUAGCUCUAGUGUUCUUUACAUCACUUUAUGUUGCAAACUCAUGCAAUCACAUUCUUUACAUUUCUUUACUCUUGCUAACUCUAGCAUUCUUGUUCGUUACAAUACUUGUUCUUAUUGCCCCACUUUACUUUAAUUUUACACAUUGUCAUUUUCAUCACUCUUUACAUCACGUUAGUUCUUUGCAUCACACUAACUCUAGUGUCUCUUUACUUUACAUUUUCAAAUGCCACUCGAUCUAUGUCAUUGUGUCACUCUGUUCUUUUGCUCACUUUGGGUGCUCACUUUUCUCUCAUGCAUACACAUAGGGUUUUUGACGUUCACAUAGUUCUCAUUCAUCAUAUUAUGCAAGUUGUACUCACAAUCAUGCAUCCUUACAUUUUCAUCAUUACUUUACCCUAAAAUGCAUGCAACAAUAUAUAUACACAUGCUCAAGUGAAUGACACAUUAGACAUAGAGAGAAGUUCAAUGAGUUUGAGAAGCACCACCCACCUCGUAGGCUUUCAAAGGUGCUCCGAUGAUUUUCUUGGGAUUUUUAGACUUCUCGUUCUUUACCUGCGGCAAAACGAAGCCCUAAUAGGUCAUUUUGCUCAUAUCUUUACAUACACUUUUCGAAAUGCUAUUCCGAGCGCACCAACGCGUCGGAAAUAGCCCCAAUUAGGUUUCUAGAGGGUCAAUUGCACUUAGAAAUCCCCACGAGCAAAAGCCCCAAUUUGGUGCCGUAGCUCCAUAGCAUUCAUCAAACCUAGGGUUUGAUCUCAAAGAGAAGCAAAAGUAGCUUCAUUCUACUCUAAAGAGUCCAUCUAAACCAUCUUUAAUUCAAUCCAAACCCUAGUUUGGAUUCGUCUACCAUGAGAGGGGUCAAGCUCACCUUCAGGCUUUACUCAUUACCCCCAUUUCUCGGUUUUGAUCUCUAAAGAAGCAAAAGAAAAGCUUCAAAGACUCUAAACAAUCCAUUAAAACUAUUUCUAGGUUUAUUCAAAGCCCAUUUUAGGGUUUUACUACAAUAGGGUUUAAAGCUCACCUUAUAAGCUUUCCUUUCUUGCACUAGAGAGGAAGAAGAUGAAGUUUCUUCACCUCUUGAUCUUCUUCUUCACCUUCUUUUCCUUCUUUUCCUUCCUUUCUUUCUUUCUUCUUCUUCUCCUUUGCCUUCUAGAGAGAGAGAGGGAGAGAAGAGUGUGUGUGUGAGGGAGAGAAUGAGAGAAAAGGCUCUCUCAGCCCUCUACAUAACCCAUGGGUUGCAAAAAUGCAAAUAAACCCCUCAACUUUCAUCUUAUUCAACUGCCUGGACUGGGCNACCCGGGAGUUUCACCACAUUAACUUGCUUCACAUUAAGUCCAUCAUCGCAGGAAUCACCCGCUAGGACCGUCCUUCGGGUUUACUCCAACCCGUGAUGCAUAACUCCGGAGCGCAUCGCCCGAGAGGGAGCGACCGCCCUCGAGUACGGAACUCAUAGCAAGUAUGAUCAUAUCCUUAACUCAAAGGAUUUACAAAUUCAAUCUUGACUUUACACUAACUCUAGUGUUCUUUACAUCGCUUUGUGUUGCUAACUCUAGCAAUUAUAUUCUUUACAUUCUUUACUCUUGGCUACCUCUAGCAUUUCAUGUUCUUUACUCCCCACAUUACUUUAACUUUAAAUAUUGUCAUUUUCAUCAUUCUUUACAAUACAUUGGUUCUUUACCUCACACUAUCUCUAGUGUCCUUUCCCUUUAACUUUAUCAAAUGCCACUCGAUCUAUGUCAUUGUGUCACUCCGUUCUUUUGCUCACUUUGGGUGCUCACUUUUCUCUCAUGCAUACACAUAGGGUUUUCGACAUCACAUAGUUCUCAUUCAUCAUAUUAUGCAAGUUGUACUCACAAUCAUGCAUCAUUACGUUUUCAUUGUUACUUUACCCUAAAAUGCAUGCAACAAUGUAUAUACAUAUGCUCAAUUGAAUGACACAUUAGGCAUAGAGAGAAGUUCAGUGAGUUUGAGAAGCACCACCCACCUCGUAAGCUUUCAAAGGUACUACGAUGAUUUUCUUGAGAUUUUUAGACCCUUCGUUCUUUACCGGCGGCAUAACGAAGCCAAAUUAGGCUUAUUUGACCAUAACUUUACAUUGGCUUUUCGUAACAUUAAUCCGAGCGCACCAACGCGUCGGAAAUACCCCCAAUUAGGUUUCUAGAGGGUCAAUUGCACUUAGAAAUUCCUAUGAGCAAAAGCCCCAAUAUGGGUGCCCUAGCUCCAUAGCAUCAUCAAACCUAGGGUUUGAUCUCAAAGAGAAGCAAAAGUAGCUUCAAUAUACUCUAAAGAGUUCAUCUAAACCAUUCCUAGCUCAUUCCAAACCCUAGUUUGGAUUUCACCAUGAGAUGGGUCAAGCUCUCCUUCGAGCUUUACCUCCAACACCAAACCCACGGUCUUGAUCUCAAAGGAAGCAAAAGAAAAGGUUCACAGACUCUAAACAAUCCAUUAAAACCAUUUCUAGGUUUAUUCAAAGCCCAUUAUAGGGUUUUACUACAAUAGGGUUCAAAGCUCACCUUAUAAGCUUUCCUUUCUUGCACUAGAGAGGAAGAAGAUGAAGUUGCUUCACCUCUUGAUCUUCUUCUUCACCUUCUUUUCCUUCUUUUCCUUCCUUUCUUUCUUUCUUCUUCUUCUCCUUUGCCUUCUAGAGUGAGAGAGGGAGAGAAGAGUGUGUGUGUGAGGGAGAGAAUGAGAGAAAAGGCUCUCUCAGCCCUCUACAUAACCCAUGGGUUGCAAAAAUGCAAAUAAACCCCUCAACUUUCAUCUUAUUCAACUGCCUGGUCUGGGCAGAUUUCGGGCUCGGGGACCGGUCUCCCCGACUAGGGACCGGUCUCCGAGAGCUCUCCCAGCGCAGCCAGAGCUGCUGCGCGCAAUGCGACCGGUCUCUCUUUGAGGGGACCGGUCUCUGGGGGACCGGUCUCUCAGGGAGGGACCGGUUCCCGAGAGCUGGUUCUCAGGGACUUAGCCGAUUUUCGGCUUUUCUCAAUUCUUGCAUGUUCGGGGACCGGUCUCUCCCACCAGGGACCAAUCCCCGAGAGCUCAAAAACUGCAGCUUGCAGGUUUUUUUGAUUCCUUAGCUCUCGAAAACCUUCCACAACACACUUUUACUCAUUUUAAGACUUUCGGACUUUCCGAAGGGUACCGUCCUCGCACUUUGGUCAAUUUGACUAAAGUUCGACAUUUAUUCUCCGAAUUUUCGGUAUAUUACAGCAACGCUCGCCAUAGAGGUAGUGGCGCCAAAGUUUUAAAGCACAUACCAUAGCUGCUAACUCAAGAUCAUGUGUAGGGUAGUUCUUUUCAUAAUCUUUCAAUUGGCGAGAUGCAUAAGCAAUUACUCUGCCAUUCUGCAUUAGAACACACCCUAAUCCAUUUAGCGACGCAUCGCUGUAAAUCACAUAAUCUACUCCAGUGCCCGGCAGUGCUAGAAUCGGGGCGGUAGUCAGUUGUUUCUUCAGCUCUUGAAAGCUUCUUUCGCAGGUUUCAUUCCAUAGGAAUUUAGCUCCUUUAUGAGUCAGUCGAGUGAGAAGAGUAGACAUCUUUGCAAACCCUUCAACAAAUCUUCGGUAGUAUCCCGCCAAACUAAGGAAAUUCCGAAUUUCUGUGACAUUGGUCGGCCUAGGCCAAUCUUUAAUCGCUUCAAUCUUCUUUAGGUCCACCCCUAUUCCUAUUUAAGAAAUUACAUGUCCCAGAAAUGCCACUUCCCGAAACCAAAAUUCAUAUUUCUUCAACUUGGCAAACAAUUUUUUUUCUCGAAGUACUUGUAACACCACUCUUAAAUGGUUUUCAUGUUCCUCGUCACUUCGAGAAUAGAUCAAGAUAUCAUCGAUGAACAUGACCACAAACCUAUCCAGAUAGGGCUUAAAGACACGGUUUAUUAAAUCCAUAAAGGCUGCUGGGGCAUUUGUCAAUCCAAAGGGCAUCAUUGUAAAUUCAUAAUGCCCAUACCGUGUCCUAAAAGCGGUCUUAGAAACAUCUUCAGGCUUGAUCUUAAGCUAAUGAUAACCUGAUUGUAAAUCGAUCUUGGAAUACACUUUUGAUCCUUGCAGCUGAUUGAAUAAAUCAUCGAAUCGGGGUAAUGGAUACUUAUUCUUGAUUGUGACUUUGUUGAUUUCUCGGUAAUCCACACACAAUCGAAGAGAUCCAUCCUUCUUCUUAACAAACAACACCGGGGCUCCCCAGGGAGAUACACUCGGUCGAAUAAAACCCUUAUCUAAUAAAUCUUGUAAUUGUGCUUUUAGCUCUUUCAACUCAGCGGGUGCCAUCCUAUAGGGUGCUUUUGAGAGUGGGGUAGUUCCAGGGGCAAGAUCUAUCACAAACUCAACUUCCCUAUCAGGUGGCAUACCCGGCAAUUCAACUGGAAACACAUCCCCGAAUUCUCGCACAACUGGGAUAUCAUCAAUCUUGACGGCUCCUCCGUCACUCAUAGAAAUACUAGCCAAAUAGGCUAUACAACCCCUCCGUAUCAACUGUCGCGCUCGCGAAGAGCUAAUAGUCAUUGCGAACAAUGAACUCUGACACCCCUUAUAAACAAACUCUUGUUGACCCGGUUCCCAAAAGGUCACCGUUCUGUUCGUGCAAUCUAUGGUGGCAUAAUACUGUGUCAACCAAUCCAUACCCAAGACUACAUCAAACUCACCUAGUUUGUGUAGUGCCAAUAAAUCCACCAGCAUAAUCCAGUCGCCUACCCUAACUGGGCAGCGAGGGCAAAACUCACGAACAUCUAGGGUAUGGUCGGGCACGAUCACUCGUCUCGGAUGCAAAGUAGGUACUACCUGAAUGCUAUGCAACUCGGCGAACUGCCGAUCAAUAAAAGAAUGCGAAGCACCAGUAUCAAAUAAUGCACGAACACGAACAUCAUAAAGCAUAAUGAUACCUGCUACGACCUCCUCUGCUGCUGCGGCCUCCUCUGUCUGGGCGGCAUACAUACGCCCACUCGAACCCUGCCGAGGACUCUCGGACUGCCACUGUCCCGGUGGUCGUCUGUACUGCGAGGGUGCUGUCGGGGUCCCCUGGCUUGGAGCUGAAGAUGUAGGUACUGAUGCUGAUGAUGGGGCAGGCGAAGAACCUCUCGGGCACUCGGAGCGAAAUGGCCCUCCUGGCGGCAGAUAAAACACUUGCCCCCACGUUGUGAACACUGUGGUGGAAAGUGAGGCCCACCACAAAUGAUACAACGUGGCUGUCGACGACGCUCGGGUGCUCUACGGGGUACCGAAGAACCUCGACCCCUCGACUGGCCCGGCUGGCCCCUCGGAUACUUUGGCGGUCUCCUGAAAGAUUGUUGACCACUGCUCUCAGCUGCUGGUCUCUUUCCCUUACUUCGAUCCACAACAUCUCUUUUUUUCAUAAUCUCUACCCCCUUCUCAACAAUCAGUGCCCGGUUUACCACCUCUCUAUAAGUCGAUAGGUUUGAUGCUUGGACCAAUCUGAAAAUCGCAGGCCGCAAACCCACCUCAAAAAUACGAGCCUUAUCCUCAUCAUCUCGAACGACAAAAGGAACACAGUGCAGUAAUCGAGAGAACUCUCGCUCGUACUCAGCUACUGUCCUGUCCCCCUGUCUCAAGUUUCUCAGAUCCCUUUCCAUUUGCCUCUUUACAUUCUGAGGAAAAUAGGUAGUCAACAAUAAUUCCUUGAACCUCGUCCAGGUGAUAGCGGACAAAUCAGCACGGGGAUCCUCACGGAUAUCCACCCACCACCUGUAAGCCUCGCCAUCAAGGUGGUGUGUCGCAAACCAAACCCGAUAUCGCUCCUCGACGAAAGUAUCAUAAAAUAGCUUCUCCAUAUGCAUUAGCCAUUUCUCUACCACCCAAUGAUCGGCUUUCUCCCCAUCAAAGACACGAGGGUUGCAAUGACGAAACUCAUUCAAUCUUUCCAUCAUUCGCUUUCGCUCCUCAACCGCCACCAUCUCUGGUAACACGGUCCCUGUCGCAGCCACAUGUACUGGUGGUGGUACUACUGUCUCCUGCCGGGUCUCCACCCGCGGAGCUACCGGUGGGGUAUUUGGUACUGGUGACUAUGCUCACUGUCGUAUCCCUAUCUAGUACUGUAGGCAUGGAAUCAGGAAUCCCUCUGUCAGUCGUCUGCUGCAGUAACAAAUCCUCUAACCGCUUCAUCCUGUCCUCCUGUCGACGCGCGGCAUCCAUCUGCUGUUGCGCUGCUGCAGCCUGCUAAGCCACCAAAUCCGUCAGCUUCACGAGCUGCUCGUGCAACUCAUGAAUCUCACUAGAUCCAGAAGUAACGGAGGUCCCCACUUACUCCGCAUCCGCCGCCUCAGCUGCCCCGGCAGCUUGCGAACGAGUCAAAGGCAUCUUGAGCUGCAGCACAAAAACAAAUAUAGAUUAAUAAAACCUAUACUAUUGAACCUUUAUUUCAGGUAUAAACCAACUAAUCAAGAGAAAGUAAUGAAAUGUAACGCGUACUAACUUCCGAUGUCACAUUGUCGGUCGCCAAUGUGGCCAUCUGCAAAGUUAGUAAUUGCACAUUCCGAUCAAACUCCUACCAUUCGGAGUUUAUAAAUCACCCAAUCAAAAUACUUUCACUAACAACAACCUCAACUAGACCUCGUCUCUCACGAUCCUAUUCUUAUAGUCCAACCAGCCUAAGGUUUACUAGGUCUACUAAGACUCAACCGUAGGCUCUGAUACCACUAUAAUCUGUCACGCCCGGGUACCAGCAGAAGCAUAUCUGGUACGUACACAGACCCGCCAUACACCUACAGUAUAUAAGGCGUCUACAAGAAAGCAAGUCGAUAGGAGAAAACAUAGAAAACUCCUAUCCUGAUAUCAGAGCAUGUAUAAGUCAAUAGGACUAUUAACAAAAAACAAGAGUGUCCAACUCAAAAUAUAAGUACAAAAGAAAGUACUAAAACUAUAUGUAACAUACCACAUCCCUCGUAAAUCGUGUCGAGUUCCGUCGAAACGAGCGGAACGCGGAGAGGAAUGAGUUUGAAUGGACCCUAAGUACAUUAGAGUCCAUAACUGAGGCUAAAAGGGACCCGAGAGAGAGUAAUCUGGAAAUCUAGCUAAGUCCCAGAUUUUGUGCUCUCGGGGACCGGUCCCUGAAGGAGAGACCGGUCCCCGUACGCAUAGCCUGCCAGGAAGUCCUGAGGCAACCGGUCCCUAGUGGUAAGACCGGUCCUCGGGAGACCGGUCCCUGAAGGAGCAGACCGGUCCCUCGCUGCGCAACAGCCGAAAAACUCAAAAAUUUGGCUAAGUCCUGGAACACCCACGUUCGGGAAUCGGUCCCUGGUCGGGGAGACCGGUCCCCGAAGGCGAAAAAUGCCCAGUCUAGGCAGAUCAAGGGGAAACAAGUUAACGGGUUUAAAUGCAAUUGUCACAACACUAUAUGUGGACACCCCUCUCUCUCCCACAGCCAUUUUCAACCUUCUCUCCCAUUUCCUCUCUUUCUCUCUCUAGAACUCUUGCUCUAGGGCUUGGAGAAGAAGAAGAAGAAGUAAGGGAAGGUGGAUUUGGAGGUUUUGGUGGGUUCUACAAGCUCUCCUACAAGAAGGACUUGGAGGAGCAUGGACUAAGGUGAGUUUUUGGUAUAAAUGAGUCUAGGGCAUGGUUUUAAUCCCUAUGUUUUGAAGCUUUGGGUUGUUUUUGGCCAUGGGAGCCUUUUAUAUGCCUUGAACUCCAUGGAACCCAUGAGAGCUCAAGUGCUCUCAUGGUGGUUGGGUACGGUUUGCCAUGGAAGCCCUAGUGUUGGUUCCAAGGGCCUAGAAACCUUACUAGGAUGCUUCUUAGAUGAUCUUAAGCUAUUGUUUGCUUAAGGUUGGGAUCGAUUCAUGGGAGAACCCUAAAUGACAAUGUUAGGGCUUGGAAAUUGGGGCUUUUGCCCUAGGAUUGUUUGGGGACAAAUUGACCCUGUGGAAACCUAAUUGGGGGUGCCCUAAACACGUUGGGCAACUCCGUUUAACAUUACGAAAAUGAUAGAGUAUGAUUCAUGUUCAAAAGGCCUAAUAUGGCACCGUUUUGAUUAUAGGGCGCGGAAGCGGCUUUCGUAAAAUCCGGGAGUCGUUAUAUACUACACCCACACGACUAUUAGAGGUCGGGGGUGCACGUCGGAAUCGUUGGAUUCCCUUCUAUGUCUGUUUUCUCUAUUCUUGAGCAUAUAUAUAUAUAUAUACCCAUUCAUGCAUAGUAGGGUAGAUACAUGUGGAACUUGGUUUGACUUCAUUUAUAUGUUUCCAACUAACUUGAACAUAUCGGACGAUAGAACCAAAAUGGACAUGUGUGAUUGGACCCUCAAGUUGUGUGAAUGUGAGGUUGGACUUGGACAAUAGAAAACAAGGGUGACAUUGACAUAGAAACAAGAUUGGCAUUGAGAGAUAAACCGUUAAACAUAGUUUAACCAAAUUAUGGCAUCAUCAUGGGUAUGGCCUUGAGAGUGGCAAGAAUGAAUAGGUAGAGACCUAUCAUGACAUCGGCAUUGUGACCAGUGGCUAUGAAUCCUCAAGUUGGGGAUUAGAUCGAUACUCACAUUACAUCUUGGCUUGAGGGAGGUCGCUCCCCCUCGAGCGGUGCGCUCCGGAGUUGGUCACCACUGGGCGAGGUAAAGUCCUACCAGUUGACGGUCCCUAGGGAGGUUCGAGUCCCCCGUUAUUAAGGAAUUUUGGGUUGUGAGUUAUUGGGGUUAACAGAGUUAACCGGCAAGAUUGGGUAAGAGCCAAAGCUUGAUUAUGAUUGGAGCAUGCAUGCAUUUCCGUUAUCGCAUUGAAUUAUAUAUAUCUACUGACUUCUUUCUUGCAGGCAUAGUAUUAGUCACAUUAGUAGUGGUUACUUUUCCUCCUUUGAAAUACUUAUGCCUGGAUGGAUCUAGUGGGUAAGUCGGCGAGGUCGGAUGCCGAGCCCACUGGGAACUUUGUUCUAGUUCUCACACCACUAACCCUACAGGUCCUAGCACGAGCGGGGCGGCGGAGGACAGUGGCAAGGGUAUAGCGCCGUAGAUAGCGGCCACCGGGUCUUUAUACAUUUUGUAGUCAUUCCCUCUUUGCUAUGCUUGUAUCAACUUUACCAUGUUGACUUAGAAACGUAAAGUGUAAUCAAUCAUGUAUUUGGUGGAUGACUAAAUGUAAAAAGAAAUGAUGUUUGAACACAAAUGUAAUAGCUUAUUUACUUGUAUUUGGUUCAAAUGAAAUCAAGUAUCAUGCAUGUUGUAUAUUAGUUUAGAGCUUUCGCUUCUGUUGUUGCUUGCCCUCGUGCAAGCCUUGUAUUAUAUAUGCAAUUCUCUCGUUGGUUGCCUAUUUAUACAUAUUGUUAGAGCCUUGGGCAGACAGGGGAGGCUCUGUCCGUUCGGCGUCUGUUGACGUGACCCGAACCCGACCAAAUUGGCGGGGAUUGGGGCGUGACACUAUAACAUCUGGAUCCAAAACUCAUAUACAACCCAGGGUACAUAAAAUAUCUGUACAAUGGUAGUCUCUCUAUACAGGACAUCACCCUCGGCCGUAGCGCGAGUAGCAAGGUGAUCAACUAGCACGCUCCUAGCAAUGUCUAGCUAGACGCGACUCCCUUGCCACGAUCCCUAGCCUCUCCUGUAGAUGGCUCUGUAAAAACAACCACAAAAAGGGCGUGAGAACUAUUAACAAUAGUUCCCAGUGGGUAAGCCGCCAGCCUCGGCGAAUUACACCACUAGGCUUAUGAUGUACUAAAUGAAAAUAAGAGAGUCUGGUACUCACACAUGGGUUAACAAAGACGCUUAGAAUCACAAACAUAGCAGCAAAAUAAGGUACUUACAAGAUCAUGAUAAACUGAUAGUAAGAAAGAAGCAAAAGACUAAAAAAAUUCAAUGGUUCAUUUUUUGGAAGGUACAAAUUUAAAAUCAUUGCUCAACAGAAUCAGCUACCCAAUUAAACCAAUUAUAAAUAGCAUAAUUCAAUAAAAGAAAGUAGACAACUAUGUAACCAGACGGGUGCUAAGAGAGUACCCAAUAUGACCAAGAGAUGCUAUAUAGGAAAACCUGAAACAUUUGACAAAUUAUUCAGCAUCUGAAGAAAAAUUAUUAGCUAAUUAGAAGGGGAAAAAAAAUGAUGAUGAUAAAAGAGAUAGGGAAGUUACAUGUGUGCAGCUUGCCAAAAGCCCUAUAGUAAGUAGUUUCUCCUCGCCCACACUGUGGGCCAAGAAGGGCAUCAGAGUCAGCUGCAUAACAAGUAAUUCUUAGAUGCAAAUGGCAAUUAUUUUAACUGCAGCACAGACACCACAAGACACUCGAGUGCUGUGAUAAUACAAGUUUCAAAUAUGUUACAACUGACAAGAGGGUGAAACAGCACAGACACCACAAGCAUGUCUUUUUCGCAUUUAAGAUCUCUAACUUCGAGUGUUUCGAAGACUUUGGUCGGUCCAUGCAACGUAUUGUUUCUACUCCACCAACCGUCCCUAGCAUAAAUAUCAAAGAGCUUGAAGAUCAGUGAGUGAAAUUUCAAGUUCGAAGCCGACUCCUUCCUGAAGAUCAGUCACUAAUAGAAGAGCGGGAUGGAAUUUAGGGACAAGUCGCUUGUACUCUGGGUUAAAGAAAGUGGCUUCUCAUACACUCCACCUUUUGGCCUAGGGCUUUUUCUUUUAUAUUUUUUAUAAGCUAGGUGGCCAUGGAUGCUUCGGAAAGGAUAGGUACAGUUGUGGGGUUAAUAAUGUACAAAUUAUGAGGAGAGUUUGGAUUUUUAAGGUGACAAGCUGUUGGUUGUCUUAGUCUAUGAUUAUAUUUCCAGGUGUGUGGAUGUGUACAUAUAUAUAUAUAUAAGAUGGAGUUUUCUCAUCACUUGUACACUAGCUCAGUAUGAAAAUAUCAUAUAUGAAUACCAGCAGAAUUAUGGCAAUGUUAUAAGAGACACAAGUAUAAAUUUGUUUCUUAUAUGUGAAAUUGAUAUUUCGUGGGCUUCAAUAAAUCCAAUGCUCAAGUAGAUUUAGUAGGACAAAGAGAUCUAUAGUAGAAUAUCAUGAAUUGAGAGUUCUUAAUCCAUGUGUCACUAGUAUUAAACUUCGACAACUUCAGUCUGAGGAAGAAAAGAUAGUGUUUACUAUACAUUCCUUCAAUAAAGAGUUUACAUCAAGUUCAUAAUAUUGUCUAUCAGCUUCAGGAACCAAGUUAAGCAAAACACUAUUCAAAGUAAACAGAAAACUAGAUAAAAUCAACUAAAGGCUGAUGAUAAGACUAACCUUAACAGUUGAGAGAACAAGAGUAGCAUGCCUCGCUUGCCAUUCGCUAAGAUCCUGCCGAACAUUCGACACUGUAGGAACCUCAGAUAUUUCUGGUUCAUCUACACAUGAAAAGAACAGAACACUCCGCAUUAAAUUGGGCAAACAACAUCAAAUUCCAACAAGGAACAGGAAAAAAAUUCCUAACAACUUCAAUAACAAUAGGAACGCAAGAGAAUUCAGUACAUUGCUAACACAAUGAAAUUAAUAACUUCAAAUGACACUAAUCUAUAUACGCCAUUUCUUCGAUCCAAACACCGCCGGAAUCCAAUCGUGAACCUAAAAUCAAACAAAGAGAAGAGAUCGAAUGAAACAAAACCUCACUGUCCGAAAAGUGAACGCCAUAAAGCAACCCUCGGAACUCCUCCCACAUCAUCGGGGGUAAUGUAGGGGAGCGAUUUUGACGAGUCGCCUUCCACCAAACACGGGCGUACUUCUCAAGGCAGUGCACAGCUAGGUGCACCUUAUCUUGCUCAAGGGUGUAGAGAUCCUCGAACAAUUUCUCCAUUGUAUCCACCCAGGACUCCAUCUCCCACGGGUCACCUGACUCCCCGUUGAAAAUAGGCGGAUUAAACUUCUUGAAGGCGGUGAGGCAAGCGAGGGCUCGGUCCCUCUCGGCCUCCAACGCCGGAUCAAUAGGAGUCGAAGUACUUGACAUCGCCGAGCAAGUACCCGCCGCAACGCCCGGUGGCGCAGUGUAUGCCAUCGGUGGUGGUGCUGCCGCACCCGCCCCCUCAACUCCAGCAGGGGCACGCACAGGUGAGAUGGGCGGCUGCUGAGUGACAGGUGCCGUCGCCGCCUGUCGGGACACCAACUCCCGAAGUAGCGCCAUCUGUUCUUCUUGUCGCUGGGAGGCCUCAGCCAACUGCUGAGAAGCUUCAGCUUGCCUCCGUACCACUCCAACAAGAGCGGCAACUUGAUCCCGCAAAUCUUGUAUCUCAUCGGCUACCGACGACUCAGGCACAUCAAGAGGCGGUGCCGAAUCAGGAGUGGGUACCAUUGGGGGUGGCCUUCCACGUCUCAUUACGUCCUGAAAGAAACAACACCCCCGGUUAAACUCCACAAAUUCAUAACUAACAUUAGUUAGUAACACCAACGGGACAACCCAAUUAGGCGAAAGUUAGGCAAGGGUGCUCAUUCUCUUCUCUCGGCAUCAUGUUGUCGGCCGCCAACAUGACCUCCUCAAGUUAAGGAUAAAUCACACCCUGAAUCCGUCUCUAAGAUCCAUUAGAGACAUACAUCACUACUUGACCCAAUCACUACACUUUCGCCACUAACAAAGAGUCAUCGUCACUCACGUCCCUAUGUCCCUAAGGCCAUAAGUCCUAAGGUUUCCUAGGUCCUCCUAGACCGUUCUCCGCUCUGAUACCACCUCAAUCUGUCACGACCCGACACCGUCAAUUUGAACAGUUCGGGCCCAAAACAGACCCGCCGAACGGACAGAGUUUCCCCUGCCCGCCCGAAGCGUAACAAAGUCUAUGCAUACAUAUCCAAUAAGAGAUGUUAGCAUUCAACAUUGAGAGAGGCAAUCACAGAUACAAGAGAAUUUAAACUAUCCAUUACAUCACUUGUUCACACACAAGAAACAUUACAUAUUUCAUUUGACUUCUCAUACAUACAACCAAAAUGCCAUCCCUCAUAUACAUUACAUUUCUUCACAAAAGGGUUUUACAUAUCAUUCUUUCCUUUUUUAUUAUACUCGAGGGUAGUGAGCUAACGCCGGUGGUCCAUGCUAUCUACUGCGCGACGCCCUUGCCGCGAUCCUCGACACACGCGCUCGAACUAGGCUCUGCAAAACAGGGUGUGAGAACUAUUAUCCAUAGUUCCCAGUGGGUUCGGCCGCCGACCCCGCCGAUUUUCCCACUAGGUCCAAGAAAGGCAUAGAAACAAUAAAGAGGUCAACAUGUCAAAGGAAUAAUAGAUAUAACAAUAAGCCUACCUUGCUCAUCCACAUCUAUAUCAUGCUCAAAUGUGUAGCUAUGCCUUUACCAAUGAUGCAAUCAUGUCAACAAGUACAUGUUUAAGUUCUAUCAUGUAUGCAAACUAUAUACGAAAUGCCAUGAUCAUGCCUGUGUCAAAUCCAAACGAUUCGCCCGAAGGUCGAAUCACUCGCCACACAUACUGUCACGUGACCGUGACCGUCUGCCGAGGGCGCACCGUCGUGACUCUCUCCCCCGUCUUAAUCUCAUUGUGAUACAACUCCGGAGCUCACUGCUUGGGAGGCGCGACCAUCCACAAGCUUUAACAGACAAUGCGAGUAUGAUUAAGUCCCCCUACCAGAGGACCGCGGGAAUACUACAUCCCAAUCAUCACAAGGCAUGCUUUGCUCAGCCACAUAUGCAUUAGUUUCCAAUUCUCACAAUGUCAUUGGUUCACAUACUAGUUCCUCAUGAAUCUAGUCUAUUCUUAUAUCACAUCCACAUGUAUAUGUCCACUAGCAACUCAUACAACAUGUACAAAUAUCUAUAUUGGUAUCAUAUAAAAGUUCUCAUGCAACAUACAUGUCCACAUCUAUCUCAACAUCAUGCAAAUAAAUAUUCCUACAAGUAUCAUGCAAUCAUGGAUCAUUAUCCCUCACACUAAGCAUGAAAUUACCACAACUCAUAGGAUUCUCACUAUUCUAUGCAUGAUGAUAUAUGAUCAAUAAAAGUAGAACUUAGACAUAGAAUGAAACUCAGCUAUUUCGGAUAGCACCCCCCACCUCGUGAUGUCGACACGAAGCGAGUAGCCUAGCAGCGCGAUUUACGGCCGUUGUUUUCUUCCAACUGCAACAAAUGAAGCAAAAAUAGAAUUUUCUUCACUUUGACCACCACCGGCUCAACGGAAUCUCAAUCCGAAUGAUCCUCCGCGUCGGUUUUACCUUAAACAAGCUUUCUUCUCUAAUCCAAGUGAUGAAGAAGAUGAAGAAAGUAGCUCAAUUCCAAACCUUCUUCUCCACCAAGCUUGCUUCACCACCAAGCAAAUUUCAAUUUUUCUUUCUUCUCUACUCCUCUCUUUGGUAAAGAGAACCAAAGAGAAAGAGAGGUCAUAAAGUCAAAGAGAAAAAGAGAGAAAACCCACCCUCUCUCUGUCACGUCCCGCUAUCGCCAAUUUGGUCGAUCCGGGCCCGUUCACAGACGCCGAACGGACAGAACCUCCUCUGUCCGCCCAAGGCUCAACAACAACGAGUACAUGUAUAAAGAAAUAAACAGUUCCCAGGAUAACAUUUCAGUAUACACGGCUUGCACGAGGGCAAGCAACCACACAAGUGAUAGUAAGCUAGCUAUGCUGAAAAUUCACUGUAAUUUAAAACUUUUAAACUGAACUGAAUAACUGAAACAUUUAGUUAUUUACAUGCUUUAUAGUACAUUCAUUCACAAGUCUCUGUACAUCAAAAUAGAUGAUACAUGAUCCCAAAAUGGUACACAACUAUACUCUGGUGUCAGCUAGCUAAACUGCUGGGCUCUUGCCACGAUCCUCGGCCACAACGCUCGUACUAGAACCUGUAUGGUUAGUGGUGUGAGAACUACAGAAAAGUUCCCAGUGGGUUCGGCCGCCGACCUCGCCGACUCACCCACUAGGUCUAUUCAGGCAUAUGUAGGCAAGAAAAGUAAACAGAUUGUAACCUGCUAUAACAUGUAACUACUACAAUGCCUGUGCAAAGCUGAAAGAAAGCAGUAUGUGAAAACUGUAAAUAUGCAUGCAUGCUUUUACUGAAUUUACCCAAUUCAUGUUGGUUAACCCUCUGGUUAACAAUAACUCACUGACGCUAUCCCAAAUAUCGGGGAGACGCAACCUGCACCCGACGGGACCGUCAACUGGGGGAGACGCACCUCCUGGUCCAGUAAAGAUGACUACUCCGGAGCUCAUCGUUCAAGGAGGAGCGACCUCACUUGAACCAAACGAAUGUGAGUAUGAUCUGAUCCUCUUUUAGAGGAUUCAACAAUAGACGAUGUCACACUUAACUCUAACUAGCUCUUUAUGCUAGUUUCACAAUUCCAUUUCUCGAUGCUAACCAACCCUCUAAUUAGAAUGUCACCAAGUUUACUAUUGUUAUAGUCCAAGCAUUCAUAGGGUUCUAUGUUCACAUUCUAUUGUUCAUAUAUUCUCAUGGUUAAUAAGCAUUUGCAUAAUCAAUAUCAUUUACAUAAUAUCAAUACCCUAUAAUGCAUGAUUACAAUGUAAAUAUGCUCAAUGAAUUAGCAUAGACAUAAAAGGUGAUUCAAAGAUUUCGGAUAGCACCACCCACCUGUACGACUCGGGAUAAUCGAAGACUAGAACCACAUCACGGUAAACCGUAUAGAACAUCCACGAGUCAUGCGACUCGAUUCGGCAGUAAGCUAAGAACGGAAGCGUUUCUUAAUUACCUGCUCGUAGUCCGUUCGGAGGUGCCAAUUCAACUUCCCGAGCAUCUCUUACCCUCCUUCCUAAAGAAUAAAAAGGUUAAACUGAUCACAUGUUCAUCUUUUACAAAACUUUUGCAUUUAACCCCAACUAGUAUGUUAUGUAAUCACUAUGUACAGUAUCCUAUAGUUAGUCUUGAUACAUUUAUAUUAUUAGAGACAUUUAAAUAGCCUCCUCAAUCGAUCUACUACAAGCCUAUUAUUCUACUACUCUAACUACUAAUUCAGAUUUAAACUACUAAUUCAUUCUACCAUUUCAGUUAUAGUCCAUAGACCAUCAUUAUUUAGUACAUACAUGCUAGUAUAUGUGUGUGAGCUAAACUUUAUAGAGUUUAAAUUAGGAAAUUUAGCAAAUGCAUUUUGGCCUUUCCAUUUACGAUCAAAAUUUAAAGCUAAUUUAAAUUCCAAAUCUCCUUUAUCUGAUCAACUUUCCUAGUAUGUACAUGUAUAUGAGUGUAUAGCUAGUUUUAGUAAUCAAACAUAGUAACUCCUCAAUGCAUGUUUAGGUUUCAUUAACUCAAAUCCCGCAUAGAAAUCUUAUUAACAUCCCUACUAUUACAAUAAUCUGAAUUCGCUACAUCAUGAUACAAUCAUCAUUUACCUGUCAUUCGCCUGCUGCAAUUAGUUGUUCUCAGCUCCACAGCAAGAAUUUCUAAUGCUAGAAAAUUUUGUCACUUAACUUCCUCUUCGCCGCCCCAUAUAGGUCCAAUUCCAAUUAAUCUAAAUUUCAAGUACUCUAUAACUCUUUAGAUAUACUCCUUAUCACUCAAACUGCAGAGAAGAACUAUUACACUUACCCAAUUUGAAAGCUUCACCUAAGUUACUCUUUUCCAUACUCACAAUAGCAAGUAUAUGCGAAAUUCUGAUCGGCAAAUGCAGAAAUUUUCAGCACCUCGCUUCUCUAUGUUGCUCUUAACCUUUCAUAGAGUCGUUUUAGCUGGCCUCGUUGAUAUCAACAGCUCCAAUAACCCAACUCUCUUUCACUGAAUCUCUUCAUUUCGAGCAGCCUCAAACACAUCAAUUCAAGUCUCAAUUUUCAGCAGUAAUGAAUCCUUCUAUGAAUUAAUUCUGAGGCAAGUAUAGUUUAAGUCACACGUAAGUAAUUAACAUUUAGCUUACUUGCUGUCUCUUGGAUUACUCUCCAGCUUUGCCACUUUCUCCUAACUAUCCGAACUAAAUUUUUUCCUCAGCACAAUACAUCAGGUUGCCUGUCGGCCUUGGCACCUCUACAAUUUGGAGAGCAUCACAGGCUAGCUUACUUUGAUGCUACAAAUAAGUCCAUAUAGAACAAGUCAUUUGCUAAGUAAGGUAAAUUAUCUAGAUAUUCUCAUAGCCAAUUCCUAAUAAGUCCUAAACAGGCCAGAACAAUCAUUCUAAAGACCAGGGAAUGAAUCAAUUCAUACUCCUCUGAUUUCAGCUUAUUACGUUGCAGCUUAUACUACAACUAACCAUUCAUAAAAUAACUCGCACAUAUCAGACGCCACUGAAAAUUGUCGGUAAAGCCUUCUCAUGGUGUAAGAGCUCUAAACUCUAUAAUUGCGACUUAGAUCUCUUAGAAUUGUAAAUACAUAACCUCAAACCAGAAUUGCAUGUUUCUCAAUUCAAUUUUUUGACUUCUAAUCCAUGAAUUACCUAUGUGCUGGUCCAUGAUACAGCUUCUUAACUUUCUAUAUACUGUAUUAUCAUGAAACUCCAAUAAAACUAAUCUGUGAAGGUAAAUAACUCAAACUCUACACAAGGAUUUGAUCAAGUUACCUUGAAAUUCAGCUCUACCCAAGCUUUUCCUCUGCCAAAAUCCUUCUUUCUAUCAACAUCCAACCCGACCAACCGUUCAGAGUUUAGAGAGAGAGAGAAAGAAACGAAAAAAGAUUAAGAAGGAAGAUUUUCUCAAUCCCAAGUACAAAAUUGGGUGAGCUGGGCUGUAGAUAAGACCAAAAAAAACUGACAACUAACCUCCAACUGACAAAGCUUUAAAUAAUUAUCCUUUACAAAACAUUAUAUUCUGUUAACAAAACAUCCCUGCAAGUUUACAAAGCAUCGCUUUCAGCUACAUUCACGUCUCCUGCACUACAUCACUGGCAGCAGCUAAGAUGUCAAACUUCUUUGCGCAUCUAAUUCACUCGCGAGUCCUUCGCAACACUUCCAAAACAUACUAAUACGUUGCCGGAAGCUAACCAAUUCAAGCUCGAAAACAACCCAAUUUUAUUUUGGCAUUCAUUUUGAUCGCAUUUGAUCAUACUAGCAUAACAUACACCAAAAUCCUACACUCACUCACCAUCCAAGCAUCUCGAAUUUGCCAUUAACCACAAAUCCUCUUGCCUGCGCACCUGUGUCAAAAUAACUUCGAGUAUAAAUUAAUAACACUCAUACAUCACUAGUGAUACGCUUGUGAGCGUCGAAGUUACGUCAUAGAUCCGAAAAUGCCCCUUUCAAGUUUUAUUUCGGUGCCCAGCGAUUUGUGCCCUAGAUCUCAAUUUAAUCUAGAGAUCAUUCCUUACACGUCCAGAAAACCACUCUGGAACUGGUACAAACAACAUCUCAACAUUCAAUACCUCAUUUGAUCUUCCAUGAAGAGAAAGUUAAGCAUCGUCAACUAAACAAAUUUCCAUAUUAUUCAUCUCCUCCACCGAUUAACAAAGUUCGUGCCGGAAACUUAGAUACAACUUAACAUAUCUUCCAUCAUUCCAUUAAACAUAAUGAAGAUAGGGUCCAACACUCACCAAUAUAACAGAAUUAUAAUGCUAUUUCUGCACUUUCCCUCAUGUCACACAAAUUCCAAAAUGCAUAAGUUGACACUAUUUCCAAGUUAUUUUCUCUAGUAAUUGUAAUAGAUUUCUCGCCCUGGGAACAAAUGAAGGAUUCUGUUCAUCAAUUUGAUAUAUCAUUUGGGCUAUUUCUUGUUAUAUCUCACAAUCCCAGAGCUACAUUUUCUUAUGUUUCACCCAUCAGCGCCUUAGUAUAUAGGGGUUUACUCUCGGUACUCUUAGGUGUGAGCAGGCCAUAAUCUCAAACAAUUUUGUAACAUCACUUCGCUGCCAAUCACCUAAUAAUCACAUUCCGAGGCACAUCCAGAAUAUGCCGCAUUCUCCGCUGAAAAACUGAUUAUUUAAUGUCUUCUAAACUUCCAAUGGUCAAUGCAAGUCACAAUUCGUGACUUACUAAUAGUCAACCUCCAUUCUCCACCUAUCAAAGACUUAUGCCUGUUAUUAUACAACAUUUAAUUCUCACUUUAAUGACAGCUUUAGAAUAGACAAUUCUUUCAUACAAUCAACAACUAAAUCCGUCCGCACUAUCAACUUAACUAUGCUCAGUGAGAUCUCCCCCUUAUCAAUCAAAUCGAGAUAGAUAACCAAAUUCCGAGAUUCACCAAAUAAACAUAUCUACUUAACUUUCUAAGAAUAGUAACUAUCGUUUUUUUUCAGGCCACGAUGGGGAUCAUUCCUGUGCAUGCCCCCUCUUACUUUCAAAAAUUCGUAAUAACUACUUGAUUCAUAUACAAACUUAUCAAAGUAACAUCCGCUAUACCUCAUUGACUCUCUCAAAUAGUGGAAUCUAUUUUGAUUUCUUCACCUGGCAUCGCUACCACCGGCGCUCGACUCACUCACAGAGUACAUCACUCAAUUGUGAGGUUCCACUCACCUGUUCACAAAUGUGUCCACUGCCUCGACAAAAGGGCUCAUUCUAACAUCUCCACUACCACUCUAAUGAUUUAAGGCCAUAAAUCCUCACCCAAAAUCUCACGAGCUUCCAACUACAAGCACAAAUGACUCGAAAGAAAACUUUUACUUUUUCCGGCCUACGUUCGCCUGAUAUAUAUCACACACCAAUACUCUCAGGCAAACAACACAGUCACCCAUGAUACACUUUUUUAGUGUCGCCUCUAAAAUCUUAACACCUCCUCAUCAGCUAGCGAUAACUGGGCAUAAAAAAGGCAAACGAGGUAGGACGCAGAGCCUUGCUCCCAAGUCACUACAGCCCGAUUCACAACACUAACUAUACCCUCGCAUUUCGAAAUAAUCGCUCGACAUUAUUAUGCUUCGAUUACCAAUCGAACUGGUCAUUAACCCGUAAUUCCAAUCUAAGGCCUACCGCCUAACUUGAUAUACGAUAUCACUUAACGUGUCUCGCUCGCAAGCGCAGACAGCGCAAUCAUACGAGCACACAAUAAGUCUCAUUUAAAUCCUCGCACAUUUUACUCUCCAAUCAUGGAGUAAUCCCAAAUCUCCAAACCAUUUGAAUUUUAGGGAUGGGUCAAAUUCACACCUCUCCGUGUACACUAAUCUCAACGGUCAAGAUACGUGGCCUGGGCCAUUCGUUACCAUCAAGCUGGAACUAACCGUCCGUGACCAAAUCUCUGCCACCAAUAGGUAUCCGGCCGCGUCGCACACGCAUAAACUCUUAACUUCGAAUAGCCUCAUCUCCAAGUCCACACAUGGUCCAGCACAGAUCGUCCUCAAGCUAGUAUCCUCCAACGUCUUCACACACAACAUGUUCUAUCGAGCAAAUCCACAUUAAUAUCGUCUCCUAAGUACUUAAGUGUGUCAGCUACAGCGCCGCGAGUGAUGCAUGCACGCUUCAACCUAAGCAUACGCUCACGUGCUACUGCCAAAACUCUCUUUGGCUGAGCGGCCACAAAUCCACACUCUAACGGACAACUAAAGCUCAAGAUGUCCAUACACUAUCUCAUCUCUCAAUUAGAUAUCACACCACUAGGCAACUUCUGCUAUAUGCCUUCAUAUAAUUACACAAAUUCACCAGUCACUAUUUGAUUACAACUCAACUAACAUCGCCAAAAACCAGGUGAUCAUCUUAAACCGUUCUAACCACAAUGACUCUAUUAACCAAAUUACAAGCCAGUCUUCUUGGAAUAUCAUCCAUAUUUCUGCACUCUAGACGUCUCUAAUUUCAAUUAAUUCUCAUUACAAAUUUCCGAUAUGCUUUAUAAACAUAUUUACCAUAUUCAUUCUUUUAUCCGCAAGCCUCCAACAGUGCUCACAUAUUUACUAUUUAGGUCACCAUUCCCAUCGCUUUAUCUCAAGCCCCAGUAUAGUUGGGUUUACUAAAUUACGCUCACUACGCAUUAUCAACGCGUCUAUGUCUAACCAAUAAACGAACAAUUUUUUCCUCAUCCUUGCUGCUAGUUUAAAUCCUAAGGCUCUACCUACAGAGCUCUUGUAAAAUAACUCAUUUUCGGUAGUUACACAAUCUUCCCAUUAUAAAGCAAUCUGAAUCCUACUGGAAGUCAUAUUUACCUUACCAUUGUCACGUAUCGAUAAUACAGCGCGGCCUUACACAACCGCGGUGAGAUUACCACAACCACCUCUUGAAAGAAAAGUUUAAGUCGAUCAGAGCCUUUUUCGAAUUCGUAGAUGAAAGACUGUAACUCUCUAUCCGGUGCGCUUUAACACUCGAAUUGGAGCACCCCGACCAACAAUCAAUCGUUCAUGCCCAUUCUUACUAAUCCAUUCGGCUCCUUCGCGCGAAUAUCACCUUAGACCUCAGCCAUAAGAUUCAGUUUCAAUACUAUCAGAAGUUCAUAAUUAGGCACAUGCGUAUAUUAUUUGACACAUCCUCUAUCGAAGUCUUCCACACUCGUAACGGCCUUGCUCCAAUUGACAACGUAUUGCUCAACACUCUUCAGCGUGCAGAAAAUCUCUUCUACAGUACUUCUUUCACUGACAGUUCACGUGCUGCUAUAGUUCUCUCAACUUAUCUAAAAGGUCACCUGUCGUUUAUUCCAACAACAAACUCUCUGACUCCUGUCCUAAUACACAAAUCCUACAGGAAAAAUUUUUCUGUAAGCCAAACACAGAUUCUUGACCGCCGGCCGAACAUUCCUUAUUAUCCCAAUAACAAUGGACUAAACUUUCCUGAAGGCCACAAGAUUAUCUCAAACUUAUGUCACAGCCUUCUAGAGUUCGCAAUGACAUAUCAGAUCCACUCAAAUACACUUAAUGCUACGUCUGACAUUGGAACUAUGACUAUAACAACACCAACGCGCCACCGUACAGUUGUGACUAAACUGAUCCGAAAGCAUUUCAAUUUUCCUUCAACGCCCGCGGUCAAGUUCAAUGGAUUCCACUCUAUGCCCGAAUCUAAUAUCGAUUCUAUUUUAGAGAUACAACUAACACUAAACCACUAAACGCGUAAACAACCGUACAAUUCUUCCGACCUUGCAAGAUCAAACACGACACAAGCUAUCGUCACCAAUCAAAUCGGCGAAAGUCCUGCAAUUGAAGCCUAUUCUCAUCCUCGGUUUUAUGUGUGUCAACCCAACAAACACUCUGCUGCUGAUAAUACAUUUCAUACCUUGGAUCCACCAAAACUAAAGAUCCUUUUUAGAGGUAUAUAAAUCAAAACCACAAAUCGUUUAACUCUUUCGCACAUUACCAAAAUAUUUCUCAGUCACUUUGCCACGCCACCGAACUAGAUCCUUAUGGUUUUCCAUUCCUGAAGGUCCCUAGGUCCAUCUUAGACUUAUCACUAUCACUUACUCUGAUACCAAAUUUAUCUGGUCAAACGUCCGCUAUUUCCCGCAAUUUUGUCGAGUCCGGCCCGUUCAACAAGACGCCUGGAAGCGGAAGAACCUCCCUCUGUCGCCAAGUCAACACCCACAAGAGUUACAUGUAAAUCUGUAAGAAAUAAACAGUUCCCAGGAUUAACAUUUCUAGUAUACACGCUUAGAGAGGAAAGCAAACCACUAAACAAUUGAUAGUAAGCUAGCUACUGCGAAAAUUCACUGGUAAUUGAAAAUAACUUUUAAACUUGGAACUGAAUAAACUGAGAGAGCAUUUAUUAUUACGAGUGCUUUAAUAGUACAUUCAUUCACAAGUCUCUGUACAAUUCAAAAUAGAUAUAUCAUGAUCCCAAAAUGGUACAACAACUAACUCUGGGUGUAACAAUCUGACUAAACUGCUCGGGCUCUUGCCACGAAUCCUCGCCCUACUAACGCUCUUACUAGAACCGUAUGUUAGUGGUUGUGAGAACUACAGAAUAAGUUCCCGGCUUCGUGGCGCCGACACUAGGCCGACUUCACCCACUAGUUCAUUCAAGGACAUAAUGUUAGGUCAAGAAAAGUAAACAAUUGUAACCUCGCUAGCUAACAAUGGUAAACUACUCCACUAUGCCUUGCAUAAGCUGAAAGAAAUUGCAGUAAUGUAAACUGUUAAAUACUGCAUGCAUUCUUUUAGCUAGAAUUACCCUUGUGGUUUUGGUGUCAAUUGCAUGUAGUUUAACCUCUGUUAACAAAACUCCACUGACGCUAUCACCAAAUACAUCGGAGCCCCCACUCGUGCACCCUGACGCGGACCGUCAAGCUGUGGAACCACCUCCCUGGUCCAGUAAAUAUGACUACUCCGGAACUGCAUUCGUCACGGAGACGACCGUCACUUGAACCAAAACGAAUGUGAUAAUGAUCUGUCCUCUUUAGAGGAUCAACAAUAUACAUGUCACAACUUUAAUUCUAACUAGCUCUUUUAUUGCUAGUUUCACAAUUCCACUUCUCUCGAUGCAACGGCACUCUAAAUAAUUAGAUAUGGUCACCAAAGUUUAUUCUAUUGUUAUAGUCACAAUGCAUAUUCAAUAGUUUUCUAUGUUCGACAAUUCUAAUUUUCAUAUAUUCUCAUGUUAAUAACAUUUUCAUAAUCAAUAUAUUUACAUAAUAUCAAAUACCCUAUACAUCAUGAUUACAAUUAAAUAUCGACUCAAGUGAAUUAUCAUAGACAUAUAAAGGUGAUUCAAAGAUUUCGAUAGCACCACCCAAUCUGUCGGGAUAUCCGAAGACAGAACCUAACGCACGAAACGCGUAUAAACAGUUCACACCUGAUGCGACUCGAUGCAUAGUAAGCUAGAACAAGUCGUUUCUUAAAUACCGCGUCGUAGUACGUCGGAACGUGCAUAUCCUCGAAAACUUACCGAUCAUUUGCUUACCCUUCCUUCCUAAAGGAAUAAAAAGUAAACUGAUUCACAUUCAUAUUUUACAAAACUUUGCUUUAACUCCAACUAGUAUUAAUAUAUCACUAUUACAUACUAUAGUUAGUUUAAUACAUUUCAUAUUAUGUAUAGACCGUUAAUAUUCCUCCCAAAUCCAUUUCUGCUAACAGGCCAUUAAUUCUUACUGCUAAUGUCAAGAAUUUUAAACUACUUAUUCAGUCUGACCAGUUGUUGACAUUAUAUCCAUAAUCAUUGCCAUAUGUAAUAUACAUACAUGCUAUUAAUAAUGUGGAGCUAAUUUAUUAGAGUUUAAUUAGGAAUUUUAGCAACUGCAGUUUUGCCUUUCCAAUUAGCCUCAAAAUUUAAAGCUAAUUUAAAUCCCAAAUUUUCUCUUUACUGAUCAUUUCCUAGUAAAGUACAUAGUAUAGAGUGUAAUCUUAGUUUUAUAAGGUUUCAUAACUAGAAACGAUCCUCAAUGCAGGUUGAGUUUUCAUUAACUUCAAUACCCUAGAACUCUUAAUUAACAUCUCUAUUACAAUUAACUGAUUCAUAAUACAAUCGAUACAAUCAUAUUUACUGCUAGUUCGGCUGCCCAAUUAGUUCGUAUGCUGCUAGCUCGCACAGCAGAGAACUUUCUAAUGCUUGAAUUUCUGCACUUUACUACUCCUCUUCGAGCCUAUACCCAAUUCCAAUUAACUUAAUUCAUAGUACUUAUUAUACGCUCUUUAGAGUAACCCUAUCACUGUCAACUCAGAAGAAGAACUAUUCACAUCCUCAAUUUUGAAGCUUCACUAGUUUCUUUUCAACUCCAAUAGCAAGUAAUCUAGCUUGAAAAUUCCUGCGCAAAUCAAAAUUUCAGCACCUCGCUUCUCUAGGUUGCUCUUUAACUUCUAGAGUUUCGUUUUAGCUGGCCUCCCUGAAUCAACAGCUCAAUAGGCCCAGAAUCUCUCAGCUGUAAUCCUUCGAUUUGGCAGUCCCAAACACAUCCAAUUUUCAAGUCUCAUAUUUCACAGUAAUUGAAUCCUUAUGGGAUUAAUUCUGAGCAAUUAAUUGAUCAUAAUCACUAAGUAUUAACUUAUAGCUUACCAUUGCUGUCUUCUUUCUCUGAGAUUACUCUCAGCUUUUUGGCUACCUUCCCUACUACUUCCAACUAAUUUUUCCCUCACGGCAACCAAUAGCAUCAGUUUCCGUUGCGGCACUCUACAAUCUGGAAGCAAUCCCAAGCUGCUAACUUAUGCACAAAUAAGUCCAUAUAAACAUCAUUUUCUAAGGUAAGUAAUUCAGCCAUAGCCAAUCCCUUUAUCAAUCCUUAAUACAGCAGAGAACAUCAUUAAACCAGGAGAAUUGAAAAUCAAAUUCAUCGNNNNNNNNNNNNNNNNNNNNNNNNNUGCCCCUGAUGACACUUUAGGACAAUUUGAUGGUCGACAUGGUUUUCCAAAAUCCCUCAAUUGGCCCUAUCCACUAAAUUCACACAAGUCCUGAGCUCAAUGGGCCGCUUUGAUGACAUUAGCUUUUUCUCCAAUUACACAUGAUAUCAAGUUCGAUGCCCUAAUAUGAAGCCAAUGUCAUCUUUCAUGGUCUCAAUAAAACUUAUGGUUUAAACGCCAUGAUAUCAUAGCUCAUUUACCUCUCUAGAAUCCAUGAAAUCAAACCCCAUAUUAGAAUGCUAAAUGCAAACCCAAGAUCUCCCAAACAACUCUCUUACCUACCAUUAGGAGUCCAAAGAUACUCAUACGUAUAACAUAUGGCAUUUUUAAGCAUUCUAAAAAUCGAUUAAUAAAUACAUUUAAUAUGAGAAAAUGCAUGAAUAAAUUUAGUAACCAAGACUUUCACCAAAUAUGAGAUUUUAUCUAUAUACAAAGGCUAGUGUCAACCCACCGACGACAACGAGAGCUUUCGUUUGCUUCCGGAUUGGAUGCGUAAUCCCAUAGCUUCCUAGCACCUAGGAACAUUCAAAAUUAGUGUGCAUCAAUCGAUUACGAGAUGCAAUAAGCGUCCCUCUUUACAUGAAGCAAAAAGGGGUCAAACUCACCUCAAGAGUAGAAAUCUCUUCUUGGCUCAAAAGGGAGCUUAGAACCACUUCCAAUCUAACCUAGAGCGAAGGUUCUAAUCCAACCAAUUGAGCUUCAAAAGCCCCUAAAACGAAAAUGGCCCAAAGUAAACCCUAAAAUCACAAAUCAUAGGGUUUCAUCUCAAUGAAACUUCAAAAAACCACAAUUAGGAGGAAAGGCAUUUUGGGCAUUACCUCCUUAGAAAGCCUCAAACUCAGCUCAAAGUUCUCAAAACUUCAAGUAUCUUCCUCAAUCAACUCCAAACCCAAGCUCAAGCCUUCAAAAAUGGUGGGGAAUGGGCUCCAGAGAACAAGAAGAGGGAGAAAAACCAUCAAAAAUUUCAAGCUAAAUGGGAUCAAAUCAAAGGUUGAAGGGGGAGGGUGCCCGUACCUUUUCCUGGCAGUGGAGAGCUCAAGAAAGGGCCUAGGAGACGUGGUGCCUAUAUACAGAAGACCCAAAACCGGCAAAAACAAAACCCCUGCCAGUUCGAAACUGGUUGCAAAAUCUGCCUCCUUGUACCGGUACACGGAUCUUUACCGGACAAGAGCUACGCAAAAUGCAAAACCGAGGCUCGGUGUGCGCUGCUGCCCGGGCAUGUACCGUACAAGCGCCAGAUGGCUGUACCGGGGUACAACCAUCAGCAUUGUACCGGCUACAAGCCAUCCUUGUACCGGUACACAGACUGCGAAUGCAAACCGAGUUGCUCGCGGUUUGCGCAGUUGUCUCUGGUACCUACAGGGUCCGUACAUGGAUGUACCCGGUACAGCCGCGCCAGACAGCCAAUCGAGAGUGACCAAAAUCCAAGAUUUUUGGGUUUUGCGAUGCAAGGCUCGCUACCCACCUCCACGUGGACACGUUGCCACAGGUCGAGAACGACAGUCAUACGAUCCCUACCAGGAAUCUGGACAAGCUCAGUUUACGUACGCAAUCAUCGAACCUCGCAAUUUGCCAAAGGUCCAAGUGUGUUACAUUUAUCUUAGCAAAUCCUUCCACAAACCGUCACUAUAGUAGCCGGCAAGGCCCAAAAAGCUCCUGACCUCGGUCACAUUCGUUGGCGAGGCCAAUUCUUUAUUGCCUCAACCUUACCCGAAUCAACUGAAACUCCGUCAGCCGAGAUCACAUGCCCAAGAAGAACGCAACUUUUGAAGCAAAAGUCGCAUUUCUUCAACUUGGCAUAUAACUUCUCCUCCCGAAGUAGCUGCAGCACAAUUCUCAAGUGCUCCACAUGCUCCUCAUCACUCCGAGAGUAGACUAAGAUGUCGUCUAUGAAGACCACGACAAAUCGGUCCAAGUAAGACUUGAAGACACGGUUCAUUAAGUCCAUAAAGCCGCUGGGGCAUUCGUGAGUCAAAUGGCAUAACCGUGAAUUCAUAAUGCCAUAUCGCGUCCGAAACGCAGUCUUAUGCACAUCCUCUGGCUUGAUCUCUUAAUUGAUGAUAGCCCGAUUGGAGAUCAAUCUUCGAAUACACCCGCGACCCUUGCAACUGAUCAAACAAGUCGUCGAUACGGGGCAACGGGUACUUGUUCUUGAUUGUGGCCUUGUUCAACUCGCGAUAAUCCACGCAGAGUCGAAGCGAUCCGUCCUUCUUCUUUCACAAACAACACGCGGGCUCCCCACGGUGAUACACUUCGGCUUAACAAGCCCUUGUCCAGAAGGUCUUGUAAUUGUGCCUUCAAUUCCUUCAACUCCGCUGGUGCCAUACGGUAUGGAGCUUUAGAAUCGGCGCCGAUCCGGAAUUAAGUCUAUCACAAACUCAAUCUCCCGGUCCGUGGCAAUCCCGGUAAUUCUGCGGGAAAUACAUCGCGGAAACUCACAUACGGGACCGGAAUGUCCCCAAGAGCUGGGAGCUCCUUCUGAGUCUCCACCACCGACGCCAAAUAGGCUAUACAUCCACCUUUGAUCAACCUCUUCACUCUAGACGUCGACACCGUCAUAGCAAAGAGCGAGCUCUUGCAUGCACGAUAAGUAACUUCUUUUUGACCAGGCUCACGAAAAGUGAUCACCUUGCCUUUACAAUCUAUGGUGGCAUAAUACUUUGAGAGCCAAUUGAUUCCAAGGACUAUGUCAAAGCCCUUCAUCCGGUUCAACACAAGCAAAUUCACUGGCAUGAUCCAAUCGUCAAUUUGCACCGGACAAGCUCUACAUUCAUCCUUGAUACUAAAUGUGUGCUCAAGUGCAUCCACCCACCAAUAGUCAGCACACAAUGAAAUUUCAAUGUCAUGAGCUUUAGCGAAAGACUUGCUAAUAAAUGAGUUUGAUGCACCAGUGUCAAACAAUGCUCUAGCUCUAGUACCAUGAACUAAGAUAAUACCUGCCACGACAUCGUCGGCUACGGCAGGCUCCUCCACUUGAGCAGCAUAAGCUCGUCCACUUGGCAUUGGACGAGAUCCCUCGGCCUGACGAGGCACCAUGGCGCGGCCAGUAGACAUCGUGGGCGGGUGUCCCACAAAUUGUCGCGGAGCAGGCGGAGCCGAAGCAGAAGUCAGGGCCGGUGACGCACGCAUCGGGCACUCACGAAACUUAUGACCAGCCUGCCCACAUUGGUAACAUUUCCCACGUUGAUCGCAUUCGUGGGGUUGAUGGUUUCCACCACAAAUGGGACAGCGAGGAGGUCGACGAUCCUUCCACGGCUUCCGCGGAUACUUCGGGGGCUUCUUGUACUUUGAUGAUCCACCGGGACUGCUAGCUGCCCGUUUCUUAUCUGCACCCUUAUCAUUCAGCUCACGCUCCGCACGCAUCUUUGUAAUUCCUUGCUCUACCCAAAGGGCUCUAUCAAACACCUCCGUAAAGGUCUUCAACCUUAAGGGUUGCAUCGCCGCAUAGACCUCCCGCCGAAGUCCACGCUCGAAGCAUCCUGCCUUGUCUUCGUCAUUCCGAACCACAUUCGGAACGCAAUUCACAAUGUGAGAGAACUCCCUCUCGUAUUCUCGAAUAGUGCGAUUCCCCUGUUUGAGGUUUCGGAAUUGCUCCUCCAUUUUCUUCUUAUCACUGUCUGGAAAGUGAACGCCAUAAAGCAACCCUCGGAACUCCUCCCACAUCAUCGGGGGUAAUGUAGGGGAGCGAUUCUGACGAGUCGCCUUCCACCAAACACGGGCGGACUUCUCAAGGCAAUGCACAGCUAGGUGCACCUUAUCUUGCUCAAGGGUGUAGAGAUCCUCGAACAAUUUCUCCAUUGUAUCCACCCAUGACUCCAUCUCCCACGGGUCACCCGACUCCCCGUUGAAAAUAGGCGGAUUAAACUUCUUGAAGGCGGUGAGGCAAGCGAGAGCUCGGUCCCUCUCGGCCUCCAACGCCGGAUUAAUAGGAGUCGAAGUACUUGACAUCGCCGGGCAAGUACCCGCCGCAACGCCCGGUGGCGCAGUGUACGCCAUCGGUGGUGGUGCUGCCGCACCCGCCCCCUCAACUCCAGCAGGGGCGCGCACAGGUGAGAUGGGCGGCUGCUGAGUGACAGGUGUCGUCGCCGCCUGUCGGGACACCAACUCCCGAAGUAGCGCCAUCUGUUCUUCUUGUCGCUGGGAGGCCUCAGCCAACUGCUGAGAAGCUUCAGCUUGCCUCCGUACCACUCCAACAAGAGCGGCAACUUGAUCCCGCAAAUCUUGUAUCUCAUCGGAUACCGACGACUCAGGCACAUCAAGAGGCGGUGCCGAAUCAGGAGUGGGUACCAUUGGGGGUGGCCUUCCACGUCUCAUUAUGUCCUGAAAGAAACAACACCCCCGGUUAAACUCCACAAAUUCAUAACUAACAUUAGUUAGUAACACCAACGGGACAAUCCAAUUAGGCGAAAGUUAGGCAAGGGUGCUCAUUCUCUUCUCUCGGCAUCAUGUUGUCGGCCGCCAACAUGACCACCUCAAGUUAAGGAUAAAUCACACCCUGAAUCCAUCUCUAAGAUCCAUUAGAGACAUACAUCACUACUUGACCCAAUCACUACACUUCCGCCACUAACAAAGAGUCAUCGUCACUCACGUCCCUAUGUCCCUAAGGCCAUAAGUCCUAAGGUUUCCUAGGUCCUCCUAGACCGUUCUCCGCUCUGAUACCACCUCAAUCUGUCACGACCCGACACCGCCAAUUUGGACAGUUCGGGCCCAAACAGACCCGCCGAACGGACAGAGUUUCCCCUGCUCGCCCGAAGCGUAACAAAGUCUAUGCAUACAUAUCCAACAAGAGAUGUUAGCAUUCAACAUUGAGAGAGGCAAUCACAGAAACGAGAGAAUUUAAACUAUCUAUUUCAUUACUUGUUCACACACAAGAACCAUUACAUAUUUCACUUGACUUCUCAUACAUACAACCAAAAUGCCAUCCCUCAAAUACAUUACAUUUCUUCACAAAAGGGUUUUACAUAUCAUUCUUUUCUUUUUUAUUCUCGAGGGUAGGGAGCUAACGCCGGUGAUCCACUCUAUCUACUGCGCGACGCCCUUGCCGCGAUCCUCGACACACGCGCUCGAACUAGGCUCUGCAAAACAGGGUGUGAGAACUAUUAUCCAUAGUUCCCAGUGGGUUCGGCCGCCGACCCCGCCGAUUUUCCCACUAGGUCCAAGAAAGGCAUAGAAACAAUAAAGAGGUCAACAUGUCAAAGGAAUAAUAGAUAUAACAAUAAGCCUACCUUGCUCAUCCACAUCUAUAUCAUGCUCGAAUGUGUAGCUAUGCCUUUACAAAUUAUGUCAACAAGUACAUGUUUAAGUUCUCUCAUGUAUGCAACUAUAUACGAAAUGUCAUGAUCAUGCCUGUGUCAAAUCCAAACGAUUCGCCCGAAGGUCGAAUCACUCGCUACACAUACUGUCACGUGACCGUGACCGUCUGCCGAGGGCGCACCGUAGUGACUCUCUCCCCCGUUCCAAUCUCAAUGUGAUUCAACUCCGGAGCUCACUGCUUGGGAGGCGCGACCAUCCACAAGCUAUAACAGACAAUGCGAGUAUGAUCAAGUCCUCUCAUUCGAGGGCCACGUGAGUACCAUAUCCCUAUCCUCACAAGACAUGCUUUGCUCAGGUCGGCCACAUAUGCAUUAGUUUCCAAUUCUCACAAUGUCAUUGGUUUACAUACUAGUUCCUCAUGAAUCUAGUCUAUUCUUACAUCAUAUUCACAUGCAUAUGUCCACUAGCAAUUCAUACAACAUGUACAAUAUUUAUAUUGGCAUCAUAUAAAAGUUCUCAUGCAACAUACAUGUCCACAUCUAUCUCAACAUCAUGCAAAUAGAUAUUCCUACAAGUAUCAUGCAAUCAUGGAUCAUUAUCCCUCACACUAAGCAUGAAAUUACCACAACUCAUAGGAUUCGCACUAUUCUAUGCAUGAUGAUAUAUGAUCAAUAAUAGUAGAACUCAGACAUAGAAUGAAACUCGGCUAUUUCGGAUAGCACCCCCCACCUCGUGAUGUCAACACGAAGCGAGUAGCCUAGCAGCACGAUUUAUGGCCGAUGAUUUCUUCCAACUGUGACAAUUGAAGCAAAUAGAAUUUUCUUCACUUUGACCACCAUCGGCUCAACGGAAUCUCAAUCCGAAUGAUCCUCCGCAUCGGUUUUACCUUCAAUUGCGGAAACAUAUGAUCAAUUGAGAUUAAAACCUCUCAUGAUCAAGAGCUCUCUUUCAAAAUCCUAGAGGUCACUAUUGCAAUAAUAUACUAUAUAAAUUCAUGAUUCAAGCAAAUAGCAACCUAACAUUAACUAGGAUUUCCAUCUAGCUAGAUUCUAAGAGAUUUAAACCCAUCUCUAGCUAUAUGCCAUUAGAGCCCAUGAAGCUUACCUUAAACAAGCUUUCUUCUCUAAUCCAAGUGAUGAAGAAGAUGAAGGAAGUAGCUCAAUUCCAAGCCUUCUUCUCCACUAAGCUUGCUUCACCACCAAGCAACUCCAAUUAGUAUUCUCUAAUCCUCUCUUUAGCAAAUCCUCUUUUUAGCAAAUCCUCUUUUUGAUAAAGAGAAAGAGGGAGAGAGAAAGAGAGACCACAAAGACAAAGAGAGAAAGAGAGAGAAAACCCACUCUCUCUCUCUCCUACGGUUUGGGAAAAAGGGGGCAAGGAUUCACUCACACUCAUAGGAAACUUGCCCUCCAAGUAAACCCUUGAUUUGCACAAUUACACUUUAGUCCCUCUCAUAACAUAGGGAGACUUGCCCUCCAAGUAAUCUCUUAUACAUAGGAAACUUGCCCUCCAAGUAAAACUCUUUUACUUGCACCAUUCCACCUUAGCCCCUCUCAUUUGCACAAUUACACCUUAGCCCCUCUCAUUUGCACAAUUUUAUAUACUUUUAUUUACUCUUAUUUCUAUAUUAAAAAAAUUCGGUACACUACAUGUUUGAACUAGUGACGCCAAUAAAAGUUGUAUUUAUGUUUUAUUUUGGGACUAUGGAAAUAAAUUAAACACCCUAGCUAGAAUUAAUAGAACUCUUAAGCAGUAAAUAUCCCUUGUAUUCAUUGUGCAACUAAUUUGAUAUAAUUGGAGCACACCACAUUAAUUGUAGUAGUUUGGUCUAAUUCAAUUAAACUUUGCAUAAUCUAGUUGAUAUAGUGUCACGACCCGACUCCCAGGGAGUCACCCAUCAAAGAACCCAUGGUUCUAUUAACUAGGUACAAUUGACCCAAUAACUUAUUGGAGUUAUUGGGCCGAAAUCAUCAGCCCCAAAUACUUAAAACUCUGUUAUUAAGUUCGGCCUUUCCAACCUUAUGUACGCCCAUUUCUAGUCAUUCAUAUCCAAUGUGGAACUAUUUUUAAUUAAGCCUUAGAUGCCACAAACUCCCCCCUCUUUUAUGCCCUGACAACCUUAUCGAUCUCAAUCAUACACACUACCCAGAAUCACCAGGCGUUCUGGGACGUAUCCACGUAGCCUUGUCGCUGGUGAGUUGGUUUUGAUACCAUAAUUGUCACAAUCUGAUUCCUACGGGAUCAGCAAUCACAAAGCUUAUGGCUUGGUUAACCGAGUACGUAUUCUACAUCCAAUAACUCGUUGGGCCAAAUCUAUCAGCCCAAAAUGCUUAUUAUAUAAGCUAUAUUAUUAAGUCUAAUGUAUCUAACCUUAUACAGUCCACACAUAACCAUUCCUAUCUGAUAUGAACUAUACUCAAGCCUUGAAAUGCCACAUACUGAAACACCAUAAACCUUCAAUAUAGAAUUCAAUACACUUAUGCUUGAAAUUAAGUGAGAGAGAUAAAUCUUGAUUGCACAAGUACUGCACUUGCUUUAAUAGAAGAGUUAAUUAGCUUAAAACGUUACAUUAGUAAGUGCAUAGGUUUCAGCUCAACUAGUUAUUGUGUAACUUUAGGCUUAAAUAUUAUGCAGUUAUAUUAUCAAGUUCGUCUAAAUGUUUCUCGUACAAGCAAGUUGGGCUGAACUUUAAAUUAAUUUACUGUUUUUGGUAAUAAAAAAACAUAUAUGUGAACUACAUUCGUGGGGGUGUCCUAGCUAGCUAGCUAGCGUAUGCCAGCUAAAGUAAGCAACAUGGGAACAAUAUAUGCAAGCGCUUCUCAUCAUCAUCAUCAUCAUCAUCAUCAUAUAUAUAUAUAUAUAUAUAUAUAUAUAUAUAUUCAUAUAUAUAUAUAUAUAUAUAUAUAUAUAUAUAUAUAUAUAUAUAUAUAUAUAUAUAUAUAUAUAUAUAUAUAUAGGAUUAAAUCUAUUGAGAAUUAGCUCAUAAGAACAUGCCAACCCUUAAUAAAUGUUGUGUCCACAAAAGGGCCAACAUACAUGUUCCAUUACAAGACAAGCUUCGUUGUCUUUCAACCUGGUAGUAUGAAGAGCUCAAUGUGCAGCGGUACGAAGAGAAUAAUGUGUGCUGUCCGUGUAAUUUAUUGUAAUGAUAACAUUUUACUACUCGAUAUAUGUAUAUACAACUCCUUUGUUUAUUUACAACAGUUCAAAUAAUUGAUUGGAUAUACAUGCAUGACUUUUCUUAUAUGCUUCUCACUUUCUCUUCUAUCUUCAUGGCCCCAUAUGUCUAGUAAAGCUAAUUGGCCAUUCAUUCAUGGAAUCAUGGCCCCCUUUGUCUAGUAAAGUUUUAUUUAGAUGUAAACAACUGUUGCAAUAUGUAAACAUAUAUAUAUAGAGAGAGAGAGAGAGUCCGGCUACUAUAUUCUUAUGAGUACGAUCGCAUUCGUACUCAUCAGUUGUUUUCGAUGAUAGAGUUUCUAAAUUGACGAUCCAUACUGUUAAAUAUUAUCUAGAGAAUUUAAAACUUAUAGAAAUCAAAUUUUAUAAUUUUUCGAUAUCAUUUACCUUACGAUCAAAAGCUCACAAAAUUGACAAUUUUUAACGGCCGAUAUGAGAUAUUUGCUAGUUUAACGGUGAAAAAAAAUCGGAAUAUAUAGGUUGAAUUUUUUAUAGAAAAUUCUAUUCACUACCUAAAUAAAGAUCAAUAACUCCGAUCUUAAAUUGAAGGAUCCGAUCAUCCAUUUUUAUUAUGUCGUUCGAUUUUAACCGUCAUUUUAUACCCGCUUGAUAGACUUUAUAAUGAUUUUGAAAAAUUACGAAAUUUAUUUUCUAGAAGUUUCAAAUACUCUAAAUUAUGUUUAACGGUGUGGAUCGUCGAUUCUAUAGAAAGUGCGCAAUUCACGUAUCCUCGGCCAUCACUAUGCACAUGAGCUGUCUCGCGUAGCACACCAACUAUCAUAUGGCUCUCAUGCUACCAUUGGGUUGGGCUCUUAAACAUUGCUAAACCACAGAAUUAAUGAGGACCAACCUCACACAUGCUUAAGAGUUCACUCUUAAAGCGGGAUAACACUAACCCAAACGUGAACGCUCGCUCUCUGCAGCGCUCUUAGCUCCAUCCGGAUGCAUCCCAACUACUAGAUACCUAGUGGACACCUCGGCUCCUUUGACUGCAUUCGCCAAACCGGCUAUUGAGACAGCUACUCAAGCUGUACCUCAGUGCUUGCUCAUCAAGCACACUUAAGUAACACUCUUGCUAACUACAGCCGGCACGGAAUACUCUCUCUUCUGUUUCACCAGAAGUCCUCUGUGAACCUACACUUACCGGGGCACCAAACCCCUGACUACGAGGAAAUUCCUAACUUAACCUCUACACCAUCUCACACGAUAGAGCACUAUCUCGUUUCUAAGCUAACUCUAGCCUCGUGAGCGCUAAUCAGCUACGUAAUACUCUAACGAAAACUCGUUACGACCACUAGUUCAGCCUCACUUUAAAAGGCUAACUCGUUUCUUACCAAGAAACGUAUUAUCAUUACGUGAAUAUCUCAGUAUGCACCGUUUACACCCAUUCAAACCAGAGUGUAAGGGGCAUUACCCGGAACUUCAACCAAGUUUUUCCCGUUUUUCGGAAUGGUUUUAUCUUUUACGCAAUCGUGGGAGUUAGCGAGCUCUUCGACUUAGCUCCAUAUCUAACUUAAAGCGCCUGUUUUAAGAAAAUUCCCCACGUCUUACAUUGUAUGGCUUUAUAUCCACCUUAUAUAACCUGAAAUCGGUUUAACCGGUUUCACGGGCUUUCUUUAUCAACGUGUUCAAGACAAUUGUAAGGUUGGUACAACCUUCCCAAUUUUUCCUCAAGAUUUUCUUAAUCUUUCCAAAAUCACUAUUACCCUCGAUUUAUCUCAGUUUUUCUACGCUUUUUAUCUUUAGAUCUCGAACACAUGGCCAUGGUACACUACCGACAUGGCCAUGUUGGUAGCGAUUGGUUCCCUCUUUCGAGAGCCCAAACUCGACCUUUUUCCGACACAUGGCCACUGUCCUAAAGCACAUGACCAUGUCACGUGGCAUCUGGUGGCUUUUUCCGACAACAUGGCCACUGUCCUUGGGCACAUGGCCAUGCCACGUGGCACCUGGUGUCCGCGUCGGACGAUGUCUUAAUCUCUCAACCUCCCGGAUUGACGUUAACAUCGUCGGGUUUAUGCUGGGUUUGGGAGAGUAGAGAAGUGUCGUCGUUCCUCUAGUGAGAGAGAGAGUAAAAGAGAGGGAGAGAGAGAGAUCUUUGAGAGAGAGUUCCACCCUAUCUCCACCUAACCUCCUCUUGAACACCCAAAACCUCGAACCCUUCCUAGUUCUUCGAGAGGAUGUUCAACCUGAACCUACUAGAACACUGGUUCCACUCCAAAAUACACUUCAUUUCGGAUCCCGAACCAAAACACGAGAUUCCUCGAUUCAAAACUUCGAAGAUGUUCACAUCUUUGUAAGAUUACCGGUAUCUUGUGUACUUUUGGUUCCAAAAAGUACCACGAGAGUACCACCUAACGAUCCCAGGCACAAACUACGGGAUCCUUACCAAGAUUACCGAUUACCUACCAUAAUCUUUCGAAGGAUCAACUAAGAUUCGAUCAUAAACGAAUCCCUGUUCUAUCCUCUUUUAGGUUAUACUGUAACAAUCCCGUGGUUUAAACCCCGAAAACGGAGGCCCACAAAAGCUCCAUUUAACUGGAGAACCUUUGAAUUAACCCCCAUAAAGGCGGCGCAACCACGCGAGCCAAACCACUUUGCUUUUCAGAUGCGCUUCAAUAACUGCUUUGCCAAUCAAAACCAUGUCUAUCGGCGUCGCGCGCCUUAUCUGCAGACUUUUAGUACUCUAGCCUAGGCCUCAUAGCACCUCAGCUCCUUAUUUGAGGUCUUAAAAGUUUAGCGCCUAACCACCGGCAAGCCCACCAGCGAGCUCUCGAGCCCGGCUUGGCCCAGUGCCCACGGCGUCCUCCGGCUAACAUUCACUGCUAUUCGUUAGCCUCGCAUAAAGCUCCACCCAACACAAAUGGCUUCGCUGAUCCAGCGGACAUACAGAUUCUAUGUAUUAAUAGUAACUACGUGCAUCAUCAUCGAUCACAAUCUUAUGUACUUAUGUAUUUUACUUACAAUACAAUUCGAUGGUAUAAAACAUAUACCUAUGUUACAUUCUUACGAUUCAUGUACGAAUCUUACUAUAAUCGAUUUCUGUACUCUAUUUCCCAAUAACGUACAAUUGUAUUUCAUCUUUCGUACGAUCACUAUUACGGAUUACCGUUCAACUCUUACUAUUCAUUUCUUGAACACAUAUACCUGUAUUUACGUGGAUAUCUAGCUCACCGUAACUUGGAUCACAGUUCUUGUAUCCAACUUGUUUACACCGUACUUGGAAUACAAUCAUUUGUAUCAAACCUGUUCUCUUUAUUACUUGGAUCACAACUACUUGUAUCCAAUUUAUCCCUACCGUAAUUUGGAUUACAAUCUCUUGUAUCCAACACUCUAUUUCUAUUGCUUGGAUCUUAGUGUACUUGGAUCCACCCGUUUCCAUUACUUGGAUUUCAAUUAUUUAGAUCCGAUACUCAUACCUCCGUUGCUUGGAUUUUAUAAUUGAAUCGAAGUCAUUUCCGAACCUGGAUCUAUCCAGUUAAAAUAUCCCUAUUCUGGUUGGGAAUACACUACACUUUACCUAAGGCCUUAGGGUUUCGAUUUACCUAUGUGGCUCUCCCCACACCCCACACACGCUGCUAAAGCGGCGGGUACCCGAUAUCUUGGUAACAGCACCGCACACGCUGCUAAAGCGGCGGCCUACCAAUCGGCCAAUCACCUAGUAUGGCGAACAACUGACUUAGUAGCUGUACCGCACACGCUGCUAAAGCGGCGGCCCACCGAUUCAGUACUGGAUCCGACAACAACCCACUCCACGCUACGCAAGCGGCGGUCUGCCGAUCCUGUCCUCAUGCCAUCCGACACCAAUCGACUCCUCGUACACUCUCAAGGAAGUGGAUCUCGAUCUGUCACGCGCCUGAUAGGUGCUAACUAACUGAAAUCUGGCUCAGCUCACCGUAUCAACCGAUUCCAUUUCAUUGGAAUCCUUUCUUGCCGUUUACGAUUUCAUAUAGUUGUUAGUUCUUACAGUUUCUUAUUUCUUAGCGGUUACUCAUAUUACAUUUGUCCCUUUACUACAUUUCUUAUCGAUUACUUACGCGUAUCGAUUUAUUCAUUUCUUGCCGAUGUACAUUUCUUACUGAUUAUUAUACAUCAUCUUAGUUCAUUUGAUGAACGUACUCAAUGUCCAAAACGUAUAGCGUAAAACACUCCGUACAAUAGACAAUCAACAUAUUAUUGUACCACUAUAUAUAUAUACAUAUAUAUACACAUAUAUAUACACAUACAUACACAUACAUACACAUAUAUAUACAUAUAUAUAUACAUAUGUAUAUAUAUGUGUAUGUAUGUGUAUAUGUAUGUGUAUGUAUGUGUAUAUAUAUGUGUAUAUAUGUGUAUAUAUAUGUAUAUAUAUAUGUAUAUAUAUAUACAUAUAUAUAUACAAAAACCUGAUUGUACUAACGUCACGGAGGAACCUGGAUAACCAGCUCGAAAAGGGAACCCACCGGCAUGGGUGACCCUUAGUAACUCAACCAAGAGUGGAGUGCAACAAAACCCCACAAUGUCCAUGUCUGCACUCGCCGCGCCGCCGCGCUCCGUUCCCGCAUCUAAGCAUCUAUCGCGGGAUGGGGUCUCUGGCUCCAUCGUCAAGGGGUCAGUCGAAUCGAUCCCCAAGCUUUCCCUACUGUUGUUGGUUGAACAUAAUUUAACAUUUCUUAAACAUUAACAUAAACCCUCAAAUUACAUCUUCUUUUUACCUUGACACUACAUGUUACAUUCACUCUACACUUAUGAAUAUUACCGUUCAUCUAAAUACAAAAGCUGUGAAGGAAUACGUUAGAACUAACAAUAGUCAAGGACCAACCUUGUAAACAUAACAUGUCCAACGCUGCGGAAUUUCCCCUUUGAGACAGCAAGCCGCCAGACAGCCGCAUGGGCUUGGACUGGUUUAUCCGACCCGUACCUCGCACUGUUGAAACUGGUAAAAGUGGGCUAUAUAGUAUGAUAAGUUGAUUCGUGGGUGAGUUGAGAUUAAUUCCUUAGUGGUAGUAGGAUUAGCGUAUCGGGAAGUAGGUUACCGUUUUUUGGAUUAUCGUUUACCACCUAUGAUAAUUAUCAUAUCAUCUGAUUAAGAGAUAUAUAUAUAUGUAUAUAUAAAGGUCGAAAAGCUCGGAUUAAGCUCGCUCGGGCCAUUAUGAGUUCGAGUCGAACUUUAAUUAAAGCUCGGAUUUAAAUCCGAGUUCGAGUUGAACUUUAAUUAAACUCGGCUCGAGCUCGCUCGGCUGAUAGCUCGGCUUGCGCUCAGCUUGUGCUCGGCCGAGCGAGUAAACGGCCGGGAUCAAUUGCCGCCUGAAAUCCAAACCGGUAAUUUUCAUGAAAAAUAAAAUCACCGAAAAAUAAAAGGAUAAUUAUAAAGCACAUAAUCACCGUUUAAAAUAUAAAAUGGUGAUAACAUAAGAUCACAAUAAAAUACGUAUAAUAAACAUCUUCAAAAAUUUUAUCGACAUUUUAUAUAAAUUAGUAUCAUCGUUAUCAAAUUAAAACGGUGAUUUAGUACAACCAAUGUAAUCACCGGUAUAUACAUAGUUAUUUAAAACUCAUAUAAACACCGUCAUCAAUGAAAACCAACGAUUUUCACCAGAACUAAAUUUACAGUAAAUUAAAAAGACAUUUCAAAUUCUUAUUAUCAUCGUUAAAAAAUAAAACGGUAAUAAUGAAUCUCGUAUUACUUAAAAACAAAGUUUUUAUAGAGUUUAUAAAAAAUAUAAAAAAUAAACUUUAAUUUAAUUUUAAAAAUUGAAAUUGAAAGUGAUUUUUAUAUUCAACUUUAAAUCUUUAAUUGAAAAAUCGAAAUCUAAGAUUAAACUCGAAUUUAUGUUUUAUUUUUAAAAAUUAAAUUUUAAAUAAAGAUUUAUAAUUUAUAAUUUUAAAUAUAUCUAAAAUUUAAUUUAAAAUAUCUAAUUUUAACCUUAAAUUUAUCAUUAAAGUUCACGUUUAAACUUAGUUUGGUUUUUAAUUAAAAUAGAAAACUUAUCAGGUUAGUCAAAAUUUAAAGUUAAAAAAAUUUUUAAUUAUAAUGUAUCUUUAAGGAUUAAUUCACUAUUAUUUUUAGUUUAUAAUAUUUAUAAUCCCCACUUUCACGUAAAUAAGAAAUUUUUAGAUCUCAGGACACCCGCAACUCCUAUUAAUUAAUUAGAAGAAACGUCGGCGUGGGUUAUCAACCAUGCUCUAAUGAUUAAUUGGUAUAUAUAUAUAUAUAUAUAUAUAUAUAUAUAUAUAUCAACUCGAUCUUAUGAUAGCCAUCGUUUGGCCGAGGCAACGGUGGGUAAACAAAAACUACUACCUCGGAGGUUUAGCUACUAGUUGUGGCAACUUGUACUAGAUAUGGCGAAUUUCAUAGAUCUUUAGUUUAAAGUACGAAAAAGCUAUAAUAAGAGACCAGGUAGCCCAUACGCGUUUUUACUUGUCGACUUUUACUUAUAUGAGAUUUUUCACUACUAUCCUUAAAAUAUUAAUUCUAGCUCUCAUAUCUAGAACAAAAUUUAUCAAAUUUCUUAAAAGAUUGGUUUUAAGUUAACUAAACCUAUCAAAAUGUGGCAAUUUACACUUUUGUGGAGUAUAGAUGGUAAUUUUAAUGUUUAAAACUUUGGGCAACUAGUAAUCCAGUUACUAUAGGUUUUCUAAACUUUAAACCAAAGAUUUAUGAAGUUCACCAUAUUUAGUACAAGUUGCCACGACUAGCAGCUAAGCCUCCGAGGUAGUAGCCUUUGUUUACCCACCGUUGCCUCGGGCAAACGAUGGCUAUCGUAAGGUCGAGUUGAGAUAUAUAUAUAUAUCUCAGCGGAAACAUGAGUAUUCAACAAAAACUACUAUCUCGAAGGUUUAGCUGCUAGGUAUGGCAAUUUGUAAUAGAUCUCAUAAAUUUUGAAGAUCUUUAAUUUAAAAUAUUAAAAAGAUAUAGUAAUGGAAUGCUAGUUUUCGAGUGUUUUAACUAUUAAAAAUUGCCGGCCAUACUUUAUAAACGAUCAAAUUGCCACAUUUUCUUAGCCUUAUAUAACUUAAAAACUAGCUUUUAAGAUAAGUGAUGGAUUUAUUUCUAGUUAUUGAGGCUAGAACUUAACUUCCUAGGCUAGUAGGUAAAAAUCCUACAGCAAGCUAAAACUGGUAAAUAAAAUAUGGGCGAACUACCUGAAAUAUUACUAAAGCUUUUUAAUGCUUUAAAUAAAAGAUCUUCAAAGUUUAUGACAUCUAGUACAAAUUGCCAUACCUAGCAGCUAAGCUUUUGAGGUUGUAGCUUUUGUUGAAUACUCAUGCUCCCCGAAAUAUGAGUAUUCAUCUGGACCGUUAGAGCUGGGUAUGGGCGCUCACGGGCGCCCAAUGGGCGUUUAAAUGCCCAUACCCAUGGUUGAAAAAGUUGGGUUUUUUAAUGCCCAUUUUGCCCACCCAUGGGUAAUUCGACACCCAUAAAACCUAUUGGGCGCCCAUGGGUGCCCAUGGGCGUGUGUUUAAAAAAUUAAUGUUUUAUAUAAAAAAAAUUAAUUUUAUGUAUAUAUAAAUAAAUAGGAAGGAUUUUUAAGGUUGAUAUUACAGAAUAGCACAGAAAAUAUAAUGCUUAAAUUCGAGAUUCUGAAAUUUAUAGAAAUAAUAUACAAUACUAUAAAAUUUAUUACUCAAUACAGUAUAAAAAAUUUGAAUAUCUAUACAUAAAAUGUAAAUUUUUUAUAUUCUCUUUUUUUUCAUUUUUUUUUUAACGCCCAUUAGACGUAUGGGUGGGCGGGUGGGCGCCCACCCAUACCCAUUACUACAACCGAUGGAUUUUUAAAUACCCAUUUAAAAUGAGUACGGGUUCAUUGGGCGCCCCUGUUACUGGGCGGGCGCCCAAUGGGUUGGGCGGGUAAACGGUCCAGACGAGUAUUCUCAUAUCAUCGGGAUGAGAGAGAGAGAGAGAGAGAGAGAGAGAGAGAGAGAGAGAGAGAGAGAGAGAGAUAUAUAUAUAUAUAUAUAUAUAUAUACUCACCCGACCAUACGAAUACCUUCGUGCCUCGGGAAGCAUGAAGGUUCAACAAAAGCUACAAGCCUGAAAGCUUAGCUGCUAGCCGAGGCAAUUUCAACUAGAUCUCAUAAACUUCAUGGAUCUUUUAUUUAAAACUAUAGUAAACGGAUCACUAGCUUCCCCAAGUUUUAGUUAUUAAAAUUACCGGCACCACUCGGCCAACGUUCAAAUUGCCACAUCUUUAUAGGUUUAGUGUACUUUAAAACUAUCUUUUAAGAAAUAUGGUAUAUUUUGUUCUAGUUAUUGAAACUAGAUUUUAAAAUUACAGUAUAGUAGUAUAAAACAUUCUAAAAAUAAAAGUCGGCAACUAAAACUCGGUGAAGCUAGUGAUCCGUUUACUAUAGCUUUUUAGUGUUUUAAAUAAAAGAUCUAUGAAGUUUGUGAGAUCUAGUUCAGAUUACCUCGGCUAGCAGCUAAGCUUUCAGGCUUGUAGCUUUUGUUUCACCUUCGUGCCUCGGGAGACACGAAGGUAUUCGUAGGAUCGGCGUGAGAUAUAGAUAUAUAUAUAUAUAUAUAUAUAUAUAUAUAUCUCAAAACGAUCUUAUGAUAGCCAUCAUUUGUCGAGUCUAAUGAUAGCUAAAUAAAAGCUACUAUCUCGAAGGUUUAACUACUAGCUGUGACAAUUUAUAUUAGAUUUGAUAAAUUUGAUAGACUUUUAGUUUAAAGUGUGUAAAAGCUAUAACAGGAGAACAGGUAGUUCACUUGUCUUUUUACUUACCGAUCUUUACUUAUAGGAAGUUUUUCACUACUAUGUUAAAAAUAUAAACUCUAGAACUCAGAUCUAGAAUAAAAUUUAUCAAAUUUCUUAAAAAAUUGUUUUUAAAUCAACUAAACUUGAGAAGAUAUGGCAAUUUGCUCGUUUGCGUGGUAUAGCCGGUAAUUUUAAUAUCUAAAACACUGGGAAACUAGCAAGUCAAUCACUACGGUUUUUUAGUACUUUAAACUAAAGAUCUAUUAAAUUUACCAGAUCUAGUACAAGUUGCCACGGCUAGCAGCUAAACCUUCAAGAUAGUAGUUUUUGUUUAGCCAUCAUUUGGCUCAUCAAAUGAUGGCUAUCAUCGGGUCAGUUUGAGAUAUAUAUCUUGAUCCGACAUUAUAAUAAUUAUCGUGGUUACUGAAUCACGAUAAUUCAAAAGACGGGAACCUAAUUUUAUACACGCCAAUACUACUACAUCCGGAGGAUCCCAACUCACCCACCAACCAACUUAUCAUAUUAGCUUACCUAUUUUUCUAUUUUCUCCAUUUAGAUUGCCAUCUUUUGAACUAUCGUGUUUUAUAAAGCACAGUAGCUAUCAUGGGGCCUGAGAUAUAUAUAUAUAUAUAUAUAUAUCUCUCUCUCUCUCUCUCUCUCUCUCUCUCUCUCUCAUCCCGACGAUAUGAGAAUACUCAUAUCUCGGGAAGCAUGAGUAUUCAACAAAAGCUAUAACCCGAAAAANNNNNNNNNNNNNNNNNNNNNNNNUGUAUAUAUAUAUAUAUAUAUAUAUAUAUAUAUAUAUAUACGUACAAAAAAAAAAAAACUAAUUAAACAGCCAUUGCUGAGAAUAAAGAACUGUAACUUAUGAUGGACUUAAGUACUAAUGUGGACAAUUUGAUGAAUUCGUUCAAAUUUUUAGCGUACGUAGUAUUGAAUGUAUGCUUUUCACACACUUGUUUUGUUAUUUUAGAUUUCACUAAAUGAAAGAGCUUGGCUAGCUUAUGCUAUAUAUCCAGAGUUCAUUAGUCACUCGAUAUGCAAAAAGUAGACAAAUAAUUAAGAUCAAUCUAGUGAUCGAAUGCCAAACUUUUCUUUUUCUGUAAUAAUUCUUUCUAAUUAGCCCAUAUCUAAAGGAAUAAAUAAAAUUCUCCUGAAGGAUGAGAAAACCUGCUAGGAGGGCUUAAUUUGUUUAUAUUCUUUUGGAUAUCCAUGAUAUUGAAUGAUCAAAUUAGUGUGGUAAAAUAAGCCUUUUUCUGUUAGGAUUAGGGUUUACUGUUAAAUUCUGAUAUUUGGUACUAAACUGAUGUAACAAUUUAUCAUACUUAUUCGAAUAAAUACAACUGUAUAUAUAGAUGGCUACAAAAUUAAAGUUAUAAAUAGAAGACCUCCGUCAUGAAUGAUCUUCUAAUUCCCAUGACACAAAUCGAAUCGAGGAUUACUAGUGUAGGAACCCGCGCGAUGCGGCGGAUAAAAAUUUUUAGUAAAAAUUUUUAAAAUAAAUAAACAAAUAUGGAACAUAAAAAAGAAAAAGAAGAAUAUAAGUAUAUUUGAUUGAGAAUAUUACAUAUUUUCUCAUAAAUGGUAGACCAAGAGUCACUAAAAAAAAAAAGUAAAUGUGAGUAAAUGAAAUGAAAAAUAAAGAGUCAUUUAAAAAAAUAAAAUAAAUAUAAAUUUUUAGAAAAGAGAAAAAAUGACUUAGGGCCUCCACCUCCCUCAAAUUAAGGAGAUACAUCCACAUAGGAUUUAGGCAUGAGAAUUCAUGUAUAGGUAUAGAUAUAGAUAUAGAGGUAUAGAUAUAGAUGUCCUAAUGUCUGAAGAUUCUUAAAGAACCACCUCCCUCAUGCAAAUUGAAAAGAAAAUUUUCACUUGGUGCUCUUUGUCCUUCUUUCAUGCCUUUUCCUUUCUUCGUCCUAUGAUACAUCAGAAAGGAGAUUUCAUUAGGCGCUUCUUCACUCAUAUGCCUACUCCAAUUUGUACAUGGUGCCAAGUUACUUUCUCUCCACAUUACAUAAUUCUUCUCUCUAAACGGUAUGCAUAGAUAUGAUCUGUUGGAACCAAGAUCCUUCUUUAGGAAGACGGAUCGGUAGUUUGUGAAACAACUGUUAAACUAAAGAACACUAGCAAGUGAUGAAGGGGCCUUCAAAGAGAUUUUAUAUUCUACCAAAAGUAAACAUAUAUAGUGUGAAAUAUUAGAAUAAAGCUCUUUACUUAAUUUCCUUUUUCCCUUUCAUGAGAACAACUCUCUUGCUUUCUUUUGGUGAUAAUUAGUAUGUAGGCAUCUCACACUUCAAAUGAAAAAUCACAUUCAUGUUGAGGCCAUGUGCAUGACCAAGCUUUUUAAAAUAUGCAGUUCAUGUGAUGGUUAAUUAUAUUGUUAAAGCUAAAUCUGAACACCAACGCUAGCUCUUAUACGAACUUCCUUGAAUGAUCCGAGAUACAAUAAUUGAGAGAGUAGGUCGACCUUGUUGCUUAGACACUCAGCAACAGCAAGUACCAUCUGAAGAGUACAAUUAUUAGCAUCAAUUAAUUUAGGAGUUCUCUGUCUUCAAUUGAUGAUUACUUAAAUUAAUGAAUCUGGUUGCAAUUAAAGAAUUCUUGAAUCAGUAUGUAAUAAGACAAAGGCAGCUGCUCCUAUAUAUAAUCACAACAAGAGGCUAUAUAUAUAUAUAUAUAUAUAUAUAUAUAUAUAUAUAUAUAUAUAUAUUGAUUGAUUAUGAUAAUUAACCUUGUUCACUCUUAUAGGUGUGAACAUGAGGUGAUGCACGCACAUGCUGAUGCGAUUACAACAUGCCUAAUUUGAUGGCUGAAACUUGGAGAUAAGCCAAGAAUGCAAACUCUUCAAGAGAAGGAAUCCAUGUCAGCUUUGCUUUCUUUUUUGACAUAUAUAUGUAUAUAGACGAAGGAAAAAAAAAAUCAAGAAUAAGAAAAUAUAAAUAUAUAUAUAUAAAUAUGUAUAAGAGUUGAAGCAUAUAUGUCCUUUCCCUGACUGCUUUUGGUAAGCUUUCAUGACCUACCAGUACUCAUGGAAGGAAAGAACACCCAAAAAGGAAAAACCCAUGAAUAAAUUCCCAUCAUCUCCCAAUGGAGGCAUGGGUAAGCAUAAUUAGGUUUUGGAAGAAAGAAGAUGAAAAAAAAA
rnacentral:lncRNA from 1 species